AUUGAUGCCAAUAUCACUACCUUCUUGGAUGAUGAAGAGAUUGAAACAGGGGAAGAUCUGAAACCAGAACUAGAGACUGCAAUUAAGGCAUCUCGGGCUUCUGUUAUUGUAUUGUCUAAGAAUUACGCUUCUUCAACAUGGUGUCUGGAUGAAUUGGUGUUGAUCCUUGAGCAGCGUAUGACAUCCAACCAUAUUGUCAUCCCCAUCUUUUAUCAUGUGGAACCCACCCAUGUCAGGAAGCAACAAAGUAGCUUUGGAGAUUCAAUGGCUAAGCAUAAACAGACAAUGGACGCAGAGACAAAUGCAAAUAAAAGAAGUCAAUGGGCUCAAAAGAUGGAGCGAUGGAAUAAAGCACUUACACAAGUUGCUGAUUUAAAAGGGAAUGACGUAAAAGGAAGGUAACCACUUUCUUACCCAUAUUUCCAUAAUCCUUCAAUUUUCUUUCAUUAACACAUGAAUGUCGGUACCACCUUAAAAUCAUAGUGUCUUUUCUGAUAAUUAACUUCUCUUACCUUUAAGAAGUAAAAUAUUACCUAUAACUGGCAUGUUUUUUCAAACACACCACAGUGAUAGUUAUGAUGGUCCUGUGUAAAUGCAGUGAAGUUAGGUUGCCCAUUAGUGAAAUCUGGUAUCACAUUGGCAUCUUUUAUCUUAUUAUACAUAAAUAUUUAUGACCUUACACAUUGGAUACUUGUAUGGUUAGAACAUAGAAGUGUAAGCACACUAUGCUUUUAAUGUGAAGGACUUGAUUAAAAUUAAUAGCUAUGAUAUAAUUAAAUCUCCAAAUCUGGUUUGUUAGUUUUGUGGUUCAUAUAAAAUCAGAUUUCAGGUUAGAGACAGAGUUCAUUGAAGAAAUUGUGAAGGACAUCCACCAUAGAUUAUAUGUACCCUUAAGGAGCGUUAAACCACAACUUAUUGGGAUGAAAGAUGAUAUUAACUUCAUCACUUCAUGGUUGAAAGACGGAUCCUCACAUAUGGCAGACAUACUCACUAUUUCAGGUAUGGGUGGGAUCGGGAAGACAUCUUUAGCCAAGCAUGUGUAUGGGCUAUAUUCUCAUGAAUUCCACAAAAGCAGCUGCAUUGAAGAUAUUAGUAGGAUAUGUGAUGGAAAGUUUAAGUUGCUUGAUUUACAAGAACAACUGUACAGUGACAUUUCAAAAACAAGUUCAAUUAAAGUUCAUGAUGCUUUGGUAUAUACCUCAAAGAUAGAGAAUGUUGUAGCUCGUCAAAGCGUGUUUCUUGUUCUUGAUGAUAUUAGUACGAUUGAUCAGUUGGAUGCGUUACUUGGAAGCAAAGGUUUUCACCCUGGAAGCAAAAUCAUUAUAACCACAAAGGACAAGCAUUUGACAAAGAGUUGUGCACUAUUCAAAACAAACAUUGAACCCAUGCAUAAAGAGCUCGUGCUUCAAGGCUUACAUGAGAUCAAAGCAUGGCAACUUUUGUGUCUCCAUGCAUUCAAAUGCAAUUAUCCCAAGAAAGGUUACAAAGAGGUGUCAUAUAAGCUUGUGAAGUAUUGUCAAGGACAUCCAUUGGCUCUUGAAGUAUUGGGAAAAUCGCUAUAUGAUCGAGAUGUAACUUAUUGGGAAGGGUGCAUAGAAGGGCUAAAGAAAGAAACAGAUUCUCAUGUAAAUAAUGUCUUGAGAAUGAGCUUUAAUUCCUUGCCAUCCAAAAAUGAUAAGGACUUGUUUAAGUAUAUUGCUUGUUUUUUUGUCGGAAAAGAUAGAGAUCUUACUGAAACAAUAUUAAAGGCAUGUAAUAUAAACAUAAGAUCUGGAAUCCCAAAUCUCCUCGACCGAUUCCUUCUUUCUAUUGGACGGAAAAACGAAUUGAAGAUGCAUCAGUUGGUUCAAGAGAUGGGAAGAUUCGAAGUACAUCAAGAAUCACUUGAUAAGCCAUGGAAGCGAAGUCUAUUAUGGUGUCAUGAAGAAUCAUUCAGAGUGUUGAAACGAAAAAAGGUAAGAGGCCAUGUAUGCUUUUAGUAGUGUGUAUAUCAAACAUAUUUUGUAUUGCCUGAUUUAUUUAUUUGCAUCAUGUUUCUUAUUAGGGUAAGGGAAAACUUCUAGGCCUUACCCUUGACAUGCACAUGCUUGAGAAAGAAAAGUUGGAUGUAUCAUAUGAGCUGAAAACAGAUGCAUUAAGUAACAUGGAUAAUUUGAUGCUACUACAACUCAAUUAUGUGCACAUGAACGGGUCUUAUGCAAACUUUCCAGAGGAAUUAAGAGGCUUGUGUAUGCAUGGGUUUCGUUUAAAGUCUAUACCUUUAGACUUGCCGAUGAGGAAUUUGGUUGCUCUUGACAUGUCGUAUAGCAAUAUUGAAGCAUUUGUCGGCUGUUAUAAUAAUUCACAACGGCUUGAGAAGAGGCAAACGGUAAAUUAUCUUCAUUUAUUAUUCAUGCAUCUUGAGUUGAUGAAAUUUGUUACUCUUAUAACUUAUUUCCAUUUCUACAGUUGGAUGAGUCGUGUUUAAAAGAGAAAAGGUUGUUUGGAUCAUUGAAGAUUCUUAAUUUAAGUUUCUGUAAACAACUCCGUAGUCUUGGUGAUUUUGACCAACUUCCUGCACUUGAGAGGUUAAUCGUUAGACAUUGCAUUGGUUUGCUCGAGGUUUGUGAGUCAAUUGAGAAAUGUGUUGAACUUCUCUUCAUUGAUCUGAGCUAUUGCAAGAAGCUUGAAAAACUUCCAAGAAACAUAGGCAUGUUGAAGAAUGUUAAAACAAUGUUGCUAGAUGGUUGUAGUCCCGGUGGAUCUCGAAUCCAGAAUAGGGGUAUGGAUGCACUGGAAUUGGGCAAGGCUGACAACAUUCACAUAAAUACAAGAACCUCUUCCUCUGCCUUUGUGGGUGCUAUACCAAGUGAUUUGAAGUUGUUUACAAUUUAUUUACCAAGGUCUUUAGUAAGUUUGUCACUCGCAUAUAGUAAUUUGUCCACUAAAUCCUUUCCCACGGACUUGAGUUGCCUAUCCAUGUUAAAGGAAUUAUAUUUAGAUGGCAAUCCUAUAAAUUCCAUGCCCAGUUGUGUGAGAACCCUUCCUAGGCUUGAGAUGCUUAGUAUGCAACAGUGUAAAAAAUUGAAGUCAAUUGAGCAUCCUCCACGUACACUAAGCAAGUUGCUCUUUCCUGUUGAUGAGCGUGUUUUACGCAAAGUCGUUUUUGAUCCAAACAUGUCCCCACUAGAUUUGUUAAGAAGUUCGAUGGUUUAUUCAGGUUUGUCAUAUGAAAUUGAAGGCAUUGUGAAAAUCCAACCAAUGGUAGGUGUGGAGGAGAAGGUAUUACGUAGCUUGGGCUGGAGUAAUUUAGACUUCCUUAACGAAAGGCACUUGGGAGCUAAUUCUUGGGAAUCUGAAACCCAGGUUUAUUUUAGUUUAUUGUUUGUCUCUAUGUGAAUAUGUAUAAUAUGCUUCUUAUGUUGAUUAAUUAAGGUGGUUGUAUUUGGCAGCAGAUGUUUUAUGAAUUUGGAAUAUUCAGCACAAUGUAUGAGGCGGAGGAGAUGCCGAGUUGGUUUAGGCAUAGAAGUGUGGGGCCAUCAAUAUCUUUUACCAUCCCACCAUCAUCUCCAAACAACCUCCUUACAGGACUCAACUUCUGCUCUCUGCACACAUUAAAACCUCCUGUUGAGUGGUGGAAUUGUUUCCCUUUUACGCCAAUGAUGACAAUUAGUAAUAUAACAAAGAACCGCAUGUGGAUAUACGAACGUUGCUUUGACAGGGGUAUUUUAUCUAGAGACUGUUGCGUGUUGUUAAGUCAUUGGAUGUUUCGGAUGAAUGAGAUGGAAGGUGGUGACCACAUUACUAUUACUGUUACACUGCCGAAUUAUCGAGUUGUAAAGGAGUGUGGGGUGAGUCUUGUGUAUGAGGAUGAUGGAGUGAAGAAGGAUGAAGAAGAAGAUGUGUUGGGUUAUUACAAGUCAUGGAAUCACAUAAUUGGUGGAGAUCUCUCUCCUUUUCAGACAACUACAGGACAAUUCAUCCUAAGAAACCGGCAGUUUUUUACACGUGGCAUUGUAUUGUCUCCCUAUCAUCGAAAAUUCGUUCCAGACGGCCCCGACAUUCAAGGUAGAUGUGAUUUUUGUUAAAUAUAUUUUUAUUCUCAUGUCUUAUGUAUAAUGACCUACCUCACCCAUCACCCACUUUCUUUAAAUAGAUGGACAAUGACCCAUUUAUUUAUUAAAUCUUUUAAACAAAUGGAUAAUAUGACCCAGAUCCACUCAUUUAUUAUUGAUUUAAUUGACCUAUAAGAUAAGAUUUUGAUUUUAUAAAAUAUAUAAAAUAAAAUUUGUACUUUUAAUUUAUAAAAUGAAUAGACCCAAGCAUUGAUUCGUCUAGUCUACAGCAGGAGGUCCAGGAAAGCCCAUCAAAAUAGUUGGGAUCAAGUUCAGUCCUUACACUCUUAAGAGAGUUUUAUUUUUCUGUUUUGUCUUAAUAGAAUUCCCUUAUGGGUGAAGCACUAUCUUUAUGUUUGGUUUGGUAUGGAGUGCUGGCAUCCAUUUUACCCUACGUUGAGGAGUAUUUCAGCUUUUCAUUUUCUAGAAGAUUGUUAGCUAAGAAAAUUGUAGUAGCAAAAACUAUUGGAGAGGCCCUUCCUCUUGAAAGAAUGGGAAACCCCUAUUAUAUAUAUCAUUCAUUAUCGGUUACUUGUUUCUGGUUGUGAAUUUCCUGCUUAUUCUCUUUACUCUGUGGGAGCUUAUCAAUACAGUCAAUUGAUUAAGUCUUUCGAUAUGUUGGAUCACAUAAAUAUAUCUGGACCCAAAACGACUACUUUGUCCAAGUAGGUUGUUUGUGAACAAUGAUUAACAUAUCACUUUUUAUCUGUUUUCAGCAAAAAAGGAAGAUUGUUGGUUCAGAGCUUUAUCCCCAAGGAAGCCUGGCAUAAUUGGUGGGGCACAUGAGGUAUACUUUUUGACACCCAAACCCUUUCUCUCAUCACUUGAACAAAGGCUUACACAACCAAAUAUUAGGAAUCAAAGUACUCCAUUGGUUUGGGGGUGUAACAAAAUAAGAGGAAUUAUGACCUUGCAAUGAACACUUGAAAAUGCCAACAUUAAAAUUUUGAAUCAUUUUCUGUUCAUACCAUGUCUAGACACAAUGGGUCAAAAUCUUGGAUAAAAUUCUCACCACUCCUGUACUUGAUAUGCAGUUGAGUCCAAUUCAUAGAGUCAUCAUGUUCAGUAGAUGUUGUUCUUGAGCAAAUUCUAUGUUAAUAACAAACUAUUGCAAUUAAUUUGGAAAACAAUAUGAAAUAGUUUUAAGCAUAUUCCUUGAUUUUAAGGAAUCUUAUUGAUAGAUUCAUUCUUAGGAUAGAACCAAGCAACAUGUUGAGAAUGAAUAAAAUGCUUCAAGAGUUUGGAAAGAGAUGUAUCACUAGGAAUCAUUAAUUCUAUUGUAUCAAGAAAAUGCAACAUAAUAUUUACACUUCCAACUAACUAUCUGUUUUCGUAGCAUUUUGUAUUAUAUCUUGUGUACUUACAUAACUUUUAAAAAUUUCUUAUUUUUUCCUUUAUUUGUAGGGUGAGGGGGAAUCUUCAAGGUGUCAUUCUUCACAUGAAAAGGAUUGAGAAAAAGAGGCUACAUGGCAUGAAUAGAAGAUGAAUGCAUUCCGCAAAUGGGUAACAUAAUGCAAUUGCAACUCAAUUGUGUAACUCGGAGUUAUAUCCUACUUUUCCAGAAGUGUAUACUAACUAGCCUGUAUUGCAAAAUUAUACACAUUUCAAAUUGUAUGGUAUUUUCCAACGACUCUUUUAAGCAUAGUUGUUAAAAUUAAACACUUCUCAAAUUGUGUGCUGUUUCCUGAUCAUAAUUUGAACUGAAUUUUUGGUCUCAAUCAUUGGCUUAUCAACAGUGUCCAACGUGUAUGGGCUCAAAAUCUCAAAUCCUUUAUAGGAUUCUAUAAAUCAGCUACAGUCUACAUCAGUCUGACACGAUUCUUGAUAGAAGCUCAUGAACAAGCCCAUUGUAUAUACUCCACUCCUUCAAGAUUCCCCUGUUGUACUUGUCGGAUUGAAGGCAGCUCACUCAUACUACUAAUAACACCUUUCAAAUUCCCCUGAAGCAUCCCAUUGAGGUUAAACCUCCUGAUGAAACAUGAAACUUCCUCUCUCCCAUUGAAUUAAUUAGCCAUGGAAACUAACACAGAUUGUAUCCCUAGAAUAAACCUAACGCCCCUAACCUCUGUCAUGUACAGCAGCCAUCAGCUACCAUCAUUUGACCUAAAACAGCUAGAUUUGGUUGGGAUAAAUUUCAAAAACGAAUAAUAGUUUUUUUUAAUAUUUAUAUAUUUAGAAUGGCGAAGAAAUAAAAUUAAAACUGGAAGGGUACAGAGACGAUUGAAAUAGAAAACAGUAAUAGCCAACCUAAUUUGAAUACAACACAAAAACCAAAACUAAUGAAGCAAAACUAAUUAAAUGAUGUGAGUAGAUGCAAUGCAACAGUUGAACAAGGAGGAGAUGUACAAAACGCAGCAGCAAUUAGCCAAAGCUAGUUAUUGGAGACAAUAAACCACUUAAAGCAACUGGAGAAUGAAAAACAAUGAAAGCGACCCUAUUUGAAAACUCUGAAUUGCAUUCAGUGCACCACCACUUUAAAGUAAUAAUAUCCACACCACUAGUAAUCCCCAAGAAAUAUUCAGAGCACCUGAAAAAGCAACCUAAAACUACAAUAGAACUUGCACCAAAAACUUGAAGCAGCUCCAAUAAACUACAUGUGUCAAACAACUCCAAAUGACAGCUCCAAUAACUUUUUCACUCUUGCAAUACUCUCAAGUCUCAACAUAGAAAACAUUUGAACCUCUCAUUCCUAAAACCUGUACAUAACAUUAACAAGUUACAAUAUGUUCAUAUAAUUUUUUUUUUGGAAUUUUUUUUUAUGAAAUAGACAUCAAAGAACAUCCACACCCUUCUUUUCUAUUACUAUAAAUAUAAGAAAACAAGGUCUUACAUCGGUGUUUUAACAUCUAAUUAGCUAUGUGGAUAUGGGCUACAAAGAUUUGAUAUUACAUAAUGUUUUUGUCAACAUACCAAUCAAAACCAUGUUUGUUUUGAUGACUUCCAAAACCACAACCCUUGAAGAUGGAUUUAAGAAAAAUUAUAGCCAUGGAUGCACAUUCUAAAAUAUAGAUUUGGAUUUUUUUGCAAGUACGGGUUGUGGGGUUUAACUUCGAUUUCAUAUUAAUUUGUUUUUUCCUCAACUUCUUAUAAGAUUUAAUGAACCAAAAUGAAUAUGAAGAUGAUUUUCAUACCAUAAUCGAUUUAUGGGUUUCAAUUUUCUUUUGAGUUUUCAUAUAUUUUAUGAUUUAGUAAAUGUUGAAUGGACAUUUAAAACGAGCUUAAGUUUUCAAAUUUUACAUCUAGUUUCUAUUUUGUGAUUUUGCAUAAGAGAAUAAGACUGUUUUGGAUUAUCCUUUUGUAUUUUCUAGCAAUCUUAUUCUCUAAAAAAUAGCAAAAUAUAAAGGAGUAUGGUAGUGGGUGCUGGUGGCGGUAGUAGGCUGACGCGGACCCAAGAAGUUUUAGUAGGGGUAGCACCAAAAAAAAUUCCUGAUUAUAUAUAUAUAUAUAUAUANAGGAGUAAGAUCAAAUGAGAACAUCAAAAAGGUUGAGAACGCGAGAACAAAGUAUAUUCAUUUGUAAUUCCAUUUAUUCAUUUGUGGAGAAAUGAUAAAUUUUUACGCCUUUAAUUUCAAUUGAAGAGAAAAACUAUAUUCAUGUUGAUUGUGCGUAAAAAAUUAUCAUUUCUCCACAAAUGAAUACAUGAAAUCACAACUGAAUAUACCUGUUCUCGCGUUCUCAACCUUAUAUAUAUAUAUAUAUAUAUAUAUAUUACAUUUUAAAGUUAACAUCUUUGUGUAAUCAUUUUUUAAACAAUUCAUCAUUUUUCAAUCUUAGCAAACAUACGCGUCGCUCGUUAAAUCAUCACCCACUUUCAUCACUACUACGAAGUACCAACAUUCAAUUUCCAAAAAAAAAUAUUAAAGUUUUAAAAUUCAUAGUUGAAUAUUUAAACCUAAUUUCACCAAUAACAUAAAUAAAUAACAAAUGAAGAAUUAAUUGAUUAAUUUUAGGAUUUCAAUUUGAAUAAGUAAAUUAACUAAAGUGUUAAAGAUAAAGGUAAUACUUUAUUUUGCUAGUGGGAAAAAAGCCUAGCUUUUGAGAGGAAUGAGCAAGUAGGAGAAAAUGCCAAGCUUUUGUUAUUUAUGGUGUGGACUUGUAGUGAAGGAGGGCAGGAGAACUCAUUUUUUCCCUUAUGCUAUUGAAGAAUGUCAUAUGCCUUUUUAGUAAUUGAUUCACACGUAAUGGCCUUAAUUGGCUAAUUGAUUCACAUAAUGGGCUAUUUACUUGGAUUUUUUAUUUAGCCAAUAGUGAGAUGUUUAGUUGGAUUUGCAUUAGGUGCACAUUAGAUCAAAUAUAUAAAAUCCAUUUUUUUCAAACUUUUGAGGAGAUAUUGAGGAGUAGUACUUGCUAUCCCUACCAAGUAACUACAUCCACCAUUGGUGGUAGGUGGGAUGGGGUUGGGGGUUUACAUAUAGGGGUUCACAUAUAACAGAGGAAAAAAUGAGACAUGACAAAAGAAGGUUAAAAAAAAUCUCUUUAUAGUUGAACUUAAAUGAAAAGUUUAACAGAUUUGGUAAAAGUGACAACCAAUGAAAGAAAUUAAGACUAUAAGGAUGGAUGGUUGUGUGUCGUUUUUUAAACUUGUCCUCAAAGUGAAAUUUUCACUAAACGUCAAGGGCCAAUUUGUAAUUUAGUCUUCCAUUCCAGAAAAAAUAAAUAAAUAAAUAAGGAAAUUCAAAAAAAGCAAAACCUUGUUUCUUUUUUCUUUUUUGGAAAGAACCCUGAAAGCCUCCGAUCCCAACGCGUAAGAAAACACCAACAUUUACGUUGUUUAUUUAUAGUCUCUCGCCCUCUCCCUUCCUUUCAUAGUGGACUCCUGCUGACUUACUGCUCAACUUUCUUGGUCGUUGUCUCUGUUCAUUUUUCCUCUGCUUAUCGCCGCUUCAGGUUUUUAUAAACUCUGCUCAUCCUUACAGGUUAGUUUUGCUUGUGUAAGAAUUUCACGUAUCAAUCACAGAUCAUUUGAAUUUUCAUAAACAGGUGAUUAAAAUUUUGUUUAUUUCAGCUAUAUUUUUUUUUUAGUUUAUAUAUCAGUUACAGUCCAGUACGUUCUUGCUUGAAGUCCAGAAUGAUGAACAAAACUUUGAGCACGCAGACUGGGAAAUUCUCGGAUUCUUGAAAAUUGCCUCCUUAAUCACUUUAUAUUUUGAAUUGAUAAACACCAUUUUUACAUUUGAUUCUUUUUUGAAUGAUGGUAUCUGUUCCUUAAUCGUAAGCUAAACACUCAAAACCAACAAGCUUCAAUAUUCGAUUGUCAUAAUUCUAGAUUGCCUGUUGAUGUUCCUCUUGUUCAAAACUUGCGGAUCUGUCAAGACAAAAUUAGGAUUUUGCUCUUUCUGUUUGAAAUUAAGCUGGAUUAGGUUUAUGUAAUUAUGUUUGGAGGUACAAAACUGAUAAGAAAUUUCUUUGUAGAUUUAAGACAUAUGAUAUGACAUUGGUCAGCUAAGCUGAUGUCAUUUGUGACUUAAAUCAUUCAUACCUUCCGGUUUCAAGUGUUUAAACUUCUUCCAUAAGUUGUUCUACUUCUGAUACAGAAAACAGUCUUCAAGUUCUAUGUUGUGAAACUUCACAUUUCUUGGUUAUUUGGUGGUUAAUUGGGUCAGCUGAUAAAGCUUCAGUUUUCACUUCCAAGGAUGGUAUCAGAGCUUCGGAAUCAGCCAUUCCAUCUUUUGGCGAUUCCAUUUGUAAGGGUAUGAUUUCUUGAUUCUUAUCAACAUGGUUGUCUAAACUAGUUGUUUGAGGAGAAUCCAGAUAAGAUUUGAUAAUCCCACAUCCGGAAUGGGAUUAGCCGCUGACCUGGCAAUCAUUUCUUCAUUCUUAUCUUGAAAUGGAGAUGGAAUAGCUUGGAGGAAAUAUAAAUCCCAAAGUCUUGAGUUCAGAAUCCCAGGAAAUACCUGUUUGUUGUAGGGUUCUGUUGUAGUCUCUGACCUUUUUGCCCUCAAACAACUAACCCUUCAUGUAGUUCGCCUCCUAGGAUAGCUGAAACAGCCUCCAUAACAGUCCUCUAUGGAAAAAAGAAAUGAAGUUCCAAAAAUUGUAUAAAUGAAAACCUUAUAGUUGAUGCUAAACUUCACUGGAAAAGAAACAUUACGAGGGAAUUUUCAACCAUAAUGUAAAUGAGUUACAUGAGAGAGGAAACUUACCAUGAUUAUCUCCAUUGCCACUCUUCUCAUGAAACAAAGGAGUCUCUGUUAGACACUUUGUCUUGACUGUAUAUCUGUUUUCUAUUUUUGGUAAAGUGGCUUUGUUUUACCUACUAAAAGAACCAACAAAAUGAUAUAGUUACACAGAGGGCUGCAUGAUCUAACUUUUAGGCUGCAUUUGUCAAGCUAGAUAUACUUUCAAGGGCAUUUCAGUUAUGAGGAUCAGGAGGGCAUUUACGUCUUUUUCAUAAACGAGAGACCAAGAGAUAAAAAAUUUCAAUUUAAAUAACUCACAUGGCAAUAUAAUAUUAUUUUACAUCAAUACUUUGCUGUUAGCAGAUGAAAUUUAAGUUGCAUAUUAAUCAAUAAUUUGCUAUUAUGCAGAGGCAUUUUCUAUGGGUCCUGAGACAUUAAAGAACAAGUGAAGAAAGCCGGUGAAACCAACUUUCAUAACUAAUAACAUCUGUGGAGGAGUUUGAGAGCUUACUGAGAAGCGUGAAGGAUCAUCAACCUGUAAUUUGUUAUGGUGGUUCUAUCUGAUCUUCCAGAAGGUUCUUCAUCAACUGAUGAUUAUAGUUCAUCAGCCCAUGUUCCUACUUCAUCAACUCAUGGUCAUAACUCAUCAGCUCAUAAUCAUAGAUAUGAUGUAUUUUUAAGUUUUAGAGGUGUUGACACUCGUCAUAGUUUCACUGAUCACCUUCAUAAGGCCCUCAUUUAUGCCAAUAUCAAUACCUUCUUGGAUGAUGAAGAGAUUGAAACCGGGGAAGAUCUGAAACCGGAAUUGGAGAGUGCGAUUAAGGCAUCUCGGGCUUCUAUUAUCAUCCUGUCCAAGAAUUAUGCUUCUUCAACAUGGUGUCUGGAUGAAUUGGUGUUGAUCCUUGAGCAGCGUAUGACAUCCAACCAUAUUGUUAUCCCCAUAUUUUAUCAUGUGGAGCCCACACAUGUUAGGAAGCAACAAAGUAGCUUUGGAGAUGCAAUGGCUAAGCAUAAAAAGACAAUGGAGGAAGAGACAAAUGCAAAUAAAAGAAGUCAAUGGGCUCAAAAGAUGGACCAAUGGAAUAAAGCGCUUAUUGAAGUUGCUAAUUUAAAAGGAAAGGAUGUAAAUGGAAGGUAACCACUUUCUUACCCAUAUUUCCAUAAUCCUUCAAUUUUGUUUGAUUAAAACAUGUAUGAUAGUAUCAUGUUCUCCCAAUGCAUGUCAAUAAGUUUCUUUAACAUCAUUUAGUAUACAUAUAUUUGAUGUAUUAGGAUAUAAAUUUCACACAUUUAUUAUGCAUUUUGUGCUUCAUUAUAAGUUACUUCAUUUAGACAAACUAUUUCAAUUAUUUUGUAUGCUUUCUAUUAAAAAACAAGAUUUAAAGGGUUUUCUAUGCAUCUACUAUUAAUUAUACCAUACCACCUUCAAAUCAUAGUGUCUUGUAUGAUAAAUAACUUCUCUUACCUUCAAUUAGUAAUUACCUAUAACCGACACUUUUUUUUCAAACACGCCACAAUGAUAGUUAUGAUGGUCUUGUGUAAAUGUAGUUAAGUUAGGUUGUCCAUUAGUGAAAUCUGGUAUUACAUUGGCAUCUUUUAUCUUAUUAUACAUAAAUAUUUAUGACCUUGCACAUUGAAACUUGUAUGGUUAGAACAUAGAAGUGUAAACACAAUAUCAUUUUAAUGUGAAGGACUUGAUUAAAAUUAAUAGCUAUGAUAUAAUUUUGAUUUUGGUUCUUUGGACAAAUUAAAUCUCCAAAUCCAGUUUGUUAGUUCUGUGGCUCAUAUAAAAUCUGAUUUCAGGCUAGAGACGGAAUUUAUUGAAGAAAUUGUGAAGGACAUCCACCGUAGGUUACAUGUACCCUCAAGGAGUGUUCGACAACAACUUAUUGGGAUGGACUAUGAGAUUAAGUUCAUAACUUCAUGGUUGAAAGAUGGAUCCUCACAUACGGCAGACAUACUCACUAUUUAUGGUAUAGGAGGGAUUGGGAAGACAACUUUAGCCAAACAUGUCUAUGGGCUAUAUGCUCACAAAUUCCACAAAAGCAGCUGUAUUGAAGAUGUUAGUAGGGUAUGUGAUGGAAAGUUUAAUGGGUUGCUUGAUUUACAAGAAAAACUAAGCAGUGACAUUUCAAAAACAAGUUCCGUUAAAGUUCAUGAUGCUUCGGUAUACACCUCAAAGAUAGAGAAUGCAGUAGCACGUAAAAGGGUGUUUCUUGUUCUUGAUGAUAUUAGUACGCUUGAUCAGUUGGAUACGCUACUUGGAAGCAAAGGUUUUCAUCCCGGAAGCAAAAUAAUUAUAACCACAAAGGAAAGGCGUUUGAUAGAGAGGUGUGCACUAUUCAAAACAGACAUUAAACCAAAGCAUACAGAGCUCUUGCUUCAAGGCUUACAUGAGACCGAAUCAUGGAAACUUUUGUGUCUCCAUGCAUUCAAAUGCAAAUAUCCCAAGACAGGUUAUGAAGGGGUGUUUUAUAAGCUUGUGAAGUAUUGUCAAGGACAUCCAUUGGCUCUUGUAGUAUUGGGAAAAUCUCUAUAUGAUCGAGAUGUAACUUAUUGGGAAGGCUGCAUAGAAGGGCUAAAGAAAGAAACAGAUUCUCAUGUGAAUAAUGUCUUGAGAAUGAGCUUUAACUCUUUGCAAUCCAAAAAUGAUAAGGACUUGUUUAAGUAUAUUGCUUGUUUUUUUGUUGGAAUAGAUAGAGAUGUUGCUGAAACAAUAUUACAUGCAUGCAAUAUAAACAUAAGAUCUGGAAUCCCGAAUCUCCUCGACCGAUUCCUUCUUUCUAUUGGAUGGAAAAACGAAUUGAAGAUGCAUCAGUUGGUACAAGAGAUGGGAAGAUUUGAAGUACGUCAGGAAUCACUUGACAAGCCAUGGAAGCGAAGUCUAUUAUGGUGUCAUGAGGAGUCAUUCAGAGUAUUAAAACAAAAAAAGGUAAGAGGUCAUAUGUGGUUUUAAAAGUGUGCAUGUUAAAAACAUUGUGUAUGGUCUUAACUUUUUAUUUACAUUAUGUUUCUUCUUAGGGUAAGGGAAAUCUUGUUGGCCUUGCCCUUGACAUGCGCAUGCUUGAGAAAGAGAUGUUGGGUGCAUCAUAUAAGCUAAAAACAGAUGCAUUAAGUAAGAUGGAUAAUUUGAUGCUACUACAACUCAAUUAUGUUCACAUGAAUGGGUCUUAUGAGAACUUUCCACCGGAACUAAGAGGUUUGUGUAUGCAUGGAUUCCAUUUAAAGUCUAUACCUUCAGAAUUACCUAUGGAGAAUCUUGUUGCUCUUGACAUGUCAUAUAGCAAUAUUGAAUCAUUUAUCGGUUGUUAUAGUAAUCCACAACGACUUGAGAAGAGGAAAAAGGUAACUUAUCUUCAUUUAUUAUUUUUCAUGCUUAGUUGAAUUUCACCACCAUUCUAACUUCUUUUAGUUUUUAUAGUUGGAUGGAUUAUGCUUAAAAAACAAAAGGUUGCUUGGAUCAUUGAAGGUUCUUAAUUUAAGUUUCUGUAAACAACUUUGUAGUCUUGGUGACUUUGACCAAUUCCCAGCUUUGGAGAGGUUAAUAGUCAGAAAUUGCACUGGUUUGCUUGAGGUUAGUGAAUCAAUUGAGCAGUGUGUUGAACUUGCCCUCAUCGAUCUAAGCUACUGCAAGCAGCUUAAAAACCUUCCAAGAAUCAUAGGCAUGCUAAAGAAGGUUAAAACAAUGUUGCUAAAUGGUUGUAAUCUCGGUGAAUCUCAAACUGAUAAUACAAAUUUAAAUAUGGAUUCACUGGACAUGUGCAAUGCUAACAAAAACAUUAGCAUACGCACAAGAACCUCUUCCUCCGCCUUUGUGGGUGCAAUACCAAGCCGUUUGAAGUUGUUUUCAGUUUCUUUACCGAGGUCUUUAGUAAGGUUGUCCCUUGUAAAUAAUAAUUUGUCCACUGAAUCCUUUCCUAUGGAUUUCAGUAGUCUGUCCAUGUUAAAGGAAUUAUAUUUAGAUAGCAAUCCUAUCCAUUCCAUGCCCAAUUGUGUGAGAACCCUUCCUAAGCUUGAAAAACUUGGUAUACGAGACUGUAAUAAAUUGAAGUCAGUCGAACAUCCUCCACACACACUAAAAACAAUGAUGCUCUAUUCUUAUCCCGAUUCUUUAGAAAAAGUUGUAUUUGAUCCCAAAAUGUCUCCCCUCCAGUUAUUUCAUAGUUUAAAACAUUACACACCUGGGUCGUAUGAAAUUGAAGGCAUGGUGAAAAUCCAACCAAUGGUGGGUGUUGAGGAAAAGGUAUUACGUAGCUUGGGCUGGAUUAAUUUACUCCAUAACAAAAGGAAUGGGGGAAAUAAUCCUAGGGAAUCUCGAAUGCAGGUUUUGUCUGGUUAACUGUCUUUCUUUAUUUGACUACAUAAAAUACUAUAAUAUAAUCAUUUAAUUAAGAUGUUUGUAUUUGGCAGAUGUUAUAUGAAUUUGGAAUAUUCAGCACAAUAUAUGAGACAGAGGAGAUGCCGAGUUGGUUUAUGCAUAGAAGCCCAGGGCCAUCGAUAUCAUUUACGAUCCCAUCAUCAUCUCCAAACAACCUCCUUACAGGACUCAACUUCUGCUUUCUGCAGACAAGGAGAGUUUUGUAUGAGAGGCCUUCAAUUCUACUUCAUCAUUUCCCUGGUUCACCGAUGAUCACAGUUAGUAAUAUAACAAAGAACAGUAUGUGGAUAUACGAACAUUACAGGAUGCCAUUUGGUGUAGGGCGAGUGUGUAGGGUGGUGUUAAGUCAUUGGAUGUUUGGGAUGAAUGAGAUGGAGGUUGGUGACCAUGUUACUAUUACUGUUACGCUGCCAUAUGAUGAACAUGUAAAGGAGUGUGGGGUGAGUCUUGUGUAUGAGGAUGAUGGAGAGAAGAAGGAUGAAGAAGAAGAUGUGUUGGGUUAUUACAAGUCAUGGAAUCAUAUAAUUGGUGGAGAUCUCUCUCCUUUUCAAACAACAACAGGACAAUACAUCCUAAACGACAGGUGGUUUUUUACACAUGCCAUUGUAUUGUCUCCCUAUCAUCGUAAAUUCGUUCCAGACGGCCCCGACAUUCAAGGUAGAUGUGAUUUUUGUUAAAUAUAUUUUUAUUGUCAUGUCUUAUGUAUAAUGACCUACCUCACCCAUCACCCACUUUCUUUAAUUACAUGGAUAAUGACCCAUUUAUUUUAAUACAUAUGUCAUAACUUAAAUCUUUUAAACAACUGGAUCAUAUAUACUAUUGAUUUUAUUGACCCAUAAGAUAAGAUGUUGUUUUAUAAAAAUAUUAAAGAUAAAAGUUGUACUUUAAAUUUAUAAAUUGCAUUGAUUCGUGUAGUCUACAACAGGAGGUCCAAGAAGCCCAUCAAAUUAGUUGGGAUCAAGUCCAGUCCUUAUCACCCUUGUUUAGCUGCAGUUAAGAGUUUUAUUUUUCUUUUGUAUGUUAAUAGCAUUCUGUUAUGAGUGAAGCACCAUCUUUAGGACAGGGGGCAGCCUUUUUGGUUUGGUAUGGUGUGCUGGCAUCCAUUUUACCCUACCCUGAGGACUAUUUAAACUUUUCAUUUUCUAGAAAAUUGUAGUAGAAAAAGUUAUUGGAGAGACCCUUCCUCUUGAAAGAAUGGGAAAAAACCCUAAUAAAUCAUUUAUUAUCAGUUAAUUGUUUCUGGUUGUGAAUUUCCUGCUUAUUCUCUUUACUCUGUGUGGGGCUUAUCAGCACACUCAAUUGAUCAAGACUUUUGAUAAGUUGGAUCACAUAAAUAUACCUGGGCCCAAUACGACUACUUUGUCCGAAUGGAUUAUUUGUGAAUAAUGCUUAACACAUAACUUUUUAUCUGUUUUCAGAAUACAAGGAAGAUUAUUGGUUCAGAGCUUUAUCCUGAAGGAAGCCUGAUAUAAGUGGUCGCACACAUGAGGUAUACUUUUUGACACCCAAACCUUUUCUCUCUUCGCGUGAACAAAAGGCAUACACAACCGAAUAUUAGGAAUCAAAGUUCUCAAUUGGUUUAGGGUGUAACAAAAUAAGAGAAGUAAUUAUAACCUUUCAUUGAAUGCAUUAAAGUGGAAAUAUUAAAAUUUGGAAUCAUUGAAUACUACAAAUAUCUGUUCAUACCAUGUCUAAACACUAUGGGUCAAAAUCUAGGAUUGAAUUCUCACCACUCCCUGCCACGGUUUUGGGGAAUGGCAUCACCUGUCAUGACUCGUUUUUGUAUCUAGAGUCUCCUAGAAGGAGAGCGUGAAUUUGUAUAUAGAUCUAUACUGGAUUGACUAUCCUACACCUUGCUAUUCACUACAGUUGGACUUGCAAGUCUACGGGUGCCAAAUGUCAUUUCUUCCGAUGUCUUUCAUCGUCGUGUUAUUAGUUGAUAGUAUGGUGCAAUCAUAUCACAUUAUACCUUAAAUAACAAUUGGUUUAAGGUAGAUAGUACAACAGUAGUUACUAUAAUACAACACUACAGUACUAUUAUUAUUUCCCCAUUACAUUCAAAUUGUGAUCUUCUUACACAAGCGGUAAUGUAGAAAUUAUAUUUUUGGUUAAUGAUAGUCACACUUGGGAAAAUACACACUUUUACAAGAAACAAACAUACAGAACAUUUGAUGCCUUGGUAGAAGGCUAAGUUUAAUAGAAAAUAUAGGAUUUUCUAGGAGAUACAAACAUUUACUACAAACAAUUACAAACUUAUACAUCAAACACUUACAAACAUUUUCAUACAAACAAUGACACUAAAAUGCUUAUGAACUCACCAGCUUUAAAACUGAUAAACUCUUUUAAAAUUUGGAAUCAUUGAAUUCUCACCACUCCCUGUCACAGUGUAAUAUGCAACUAAGACCAAUUUAUAGAUUAAUAAUCUUCAGUAGAUGUUGUUCUUGGGUAGAUUCUAUGUUAAUAACAAACUAUUACACUUUGGAAAACAAUAUGAAAUUGAUCAAGCAUAUUGCUUGAUUUUAGGGAAUCUUAAUGAUAGAUUCAUUCUUAGGAUAGAAGCAAGCAACAUGUUGAGAAUGCUUAAAUUGCUUCAAGAGUUUGGAAGAGAUGUGUCUCUAGGAAUCAUUAAUAUUGUUGAAUCAAGAGAAUGUAACAGAAACUUUUACAAUUUUCUUACUUUUCCUUCUUAUGUAGGGUGAGGGGGAAUCUUCAAGGUCUCAUCCUUCAUUCACAUGAAAAGGGUUGAGAAAGCUAGAGAGGCUACAUGGCUGGCAUGAAUAGAAAAUAGAUGUAUUCGGCAACUGGGGGAAUCUUCAAGGUCAAUCAUAUGCAAGUCAAUGAGCUAUAUAUGUUACUUUUCCAGAAGAAUUAAGAUAAUAUAUACCAGCCUCUACUGCAAAAUUAAACACAUUUUGAAUUGUAUGUUAUUUCCCCAUGAUUCUUUUAAGCAUAGUUAUCAAAAUUAAACACUUCUUGAAUUGUGUGCUAUUUCCUUAUCAUAAUUGGAAUUGAAAAUUUUGUCUCAACUCUCAAUCAUUGCAUUAUCAACAAUGUCCAUCGUGUCUACGGACUCAAAAUCUCAAAUCCUUGAUAGGAUUCUAUACUUUGUUUGGGUACUAUGUAAAAUUAGCAUGCUACACCUUAAUAUACUAAGACUCUGAUUCAGAGUUGUGUGAGGUAACUAAGUAGGGAGUCCUUUGGCUCCGCAGUCGGGCUGGGACCCGGUAUUUCAGAUAAUUGGUGAACGAACUGAGACCAGGAGGUCUCGUUAGAUUUUGGAGAGCAGCCAUGUGGUAGCAUACUGCUUCAAGCAGUUCAGUGUUUCAGGCAGUUACGUGUUUUAGGCAGUUCAGUAUUUCAUGCGGUUCCGUGUUUCAGGCAGUUCAGUGUUCAGGCAGUAAGUGUUUUAGGCAAUUCAGUGUUUCAUAAAUUUCAAUGCUUCGGACAGUCAGUGUCUCAAGCGGUAAUGGUAACUGAGGAUCUCAUGUAUGGUAAGUGUAAUAGAUUGCUGAGUAAUGCUAAGUUACCCACCGCGGGGUUCAUCUAUAAUGAUUCAGUAUGAGUGGUCUAUUAAGGAUUCAGAUCAUCUAGAGACAGCAAAUUUCAGACAGAGUACAUGUAAUCUUGUUGCGAGGUAUUUGUUCACCUUAGGAAUUUAGGGCUUUACGAAGAUUGUCACGACUACCCUAGGAAGCCUAGGGUGUGCUCAGGAUAGUGACCAUGUUACUUGAGUGGUUCGGCGCAUAAGAGAUGGUAAGGAAUGAUUUCGAGGACAAAAUCUAAUUUAAGUGGGGGAGAGUUGUAACACCCUGUUUAUUUAUUAGAUAAAAAAUUAAUUAAUGAAUGAAUACUAGCCCUAAAAUAAAUAAUUAUAUUUCAAAAGUUGAUCUUGAGGAGCUAAUUGUCACCCUUUAAGAGAUUGGGGGUUAAAAGUGUAAGUUCCAGAUUAGUUUUUUAAGUAUUUAAGAAGGCAGGGGCUAAAUGGUAAGUAUUAUACUCGAUUUGUAAAGAAUUUUAAGGCUGAGGGUUAAAAAGGUAUAUUGGGGAUUUAUGUUGAAAGAAAAGGAGGGUGGAGGGGCUUAUCUUGCCAUUAUGGAAAACUUAUGUAUGGAGGCGGGUAUUUAAGGGUUCAAACCCUAAACCUAGUGCAAGAAACUACAUCUGCCAUCUCCUUUUUCAUUCUGGUAGCCGCUGCUACCAUUGGAGCCUCCUCAGCCACCAUUUGCGUCACCAAGCCCGACAACCCAGUCCCGCCUACUGUAUAUGAGGAUGAUGGAGAGAAGAAGGAAGAAGAAGAAGAUGCAUUGGGUUAUUACAAGUCAUGGAAUCACAUAAUUGGUGGAGAUCUCUCUCCUUUUCAGACAACUACAGGACAAUACAUCCUAAACAAUAUGCAGUUUUUUACACAUGCCAUUGAUUUGUCUCCCUACCAUCGUAAAUUCGUUCCAGACGGCCCCGACAUUCAAGGUAGAUGUGAUUUUUGUUAAAUAUAUUUUUAUUCUCGUGUUUUAUGUAUAAUGACCUACCUUACCCAUCACCCACUUUCUUUAAAUACAUGGAUAAUGACCCAUUUAUUUUAAUAGACGGAUCAUAACUUCAAUCUUUUAAACAAAUGGAUCAUAUAUAUUAUUGAUUUUAUUGACCCAUAAGAUCAGAUUUUGUUGUUAUAAAAAAAUAUAAAAGCUAAAAGUUGUAAUUUUAAUUUAUAAAAUGAAUAGACCCAAACAUUGAUUCAGAAACGGGGACAGUUCUGGUCCCAGGGGUACUUUGGGAAAACUUUCCUAAUUUAAAGUUUUGAGUUAGUUUAGGAUUCCAAUUAGGGUAUGGUUGUGUGACCUUUUUAAUUAAGUUUUUUUUCAGUCUUUUCAGUAAUAAAAUUUGGAGAACAAGUAAUUUUCCCAGAUUUCUUCCUCCCCUGUUUCGCUCAUGCUCUAUUUCUUUUCUGCACACAGCUGAAGUUUCCAUUCUGUCAUAAUCAAGUGAAUUGAUAUGGUGUGGUGGCAUCCAUUUUACCCCACCCUGAGGAGUAUUUAAACUUUUCAUUUUCUAGAAGGUUGUCAGCUAAGAAAAUUCUAGUAGCAAAAACUAUUUGAGAGGCCCUUCCUCUUGAAAGAAUGGGAAAACCCUAAUAAAUCAUUAAUUAUCAGUUACUUGUUUCCAGUUGUGAAUUUCCUGCUUAUUCUCUUUACUCUGUGUGGGGCUUAUUAGCACACUCAAUUGAUCACAUAAACAUUCAUGGACCUAAUAUGACUACUUUGUCCAAAUGGAUUAUUUGUGAAUAAUGACUAACACAUAACUUGUUAUCUGUUUUCAGUAGAAAAGGAAAGGUUUUGGUUGAGAGCUUUAUCCCUAAGGAAGCCUGACAUAAGUGGUCGUGCACAUAAGGUAUACUUUUUGACACCCAAACGUUUUCUCUCUUCGCGUGAACAAAAGGAAUACACAACCGAAUAUUAGGAAUCAAAGUUCUCAAUUUGUUUAGGGUGUAACAAAAUAGGAGGAGUUAUAACCUUUCACUGAAUGCAUUAAAGUGGAAAUAUUAAAAUUUGGAAUCAUAGAAUACUACAAAUAUCUGUUCAUACCAUGUCUAAACACUAUGGGUCAAAAUCUAGGAUUGAAUUCUCACCAUUCCCUGUACUUGUCUCAGUGUAAUAUGCAAGUAGGACCAAUUCAUAGAUUAAUCAUAUUCAGUAGACGUUCUUGGGUAAAUUCUAUGUUAAUAACAAACUAUUGCAUUUUGGAAAACAAGAUGAAAUUGUUUAAGCAUAUUGCUUGAUUUUAAGGAAUCUUAUUGAUAGAUUCAUUCUUAGGAUAGGAAUCAUUAUUCUGUUGAAUCAAGAAAAUGUAACAUAAACUUUAACAAUUUUCUUACUUUCCUUUUUAUGUAGGGUGAGGGGGAAUCUUCAAGGUCUCAUCCUUCAGAUGAAAAGGAUUGAGAAAGAGAGGCUACAUGGCUGGCAUGAAUAGAAAAUAGAUGGGUAGCCUGAUGCUAUUGCAAAUUCAUUAUAUCCUACUUUUCUAGAAGAAUUAAGAUAAUAUAUUCCAGCCUCUACUGCAAAAUUAAACACAUUUGUAUUUGUAUGUUAUUUCCCCAUGAUUCUUUUAAGCAUAGUUAUCAAAAUUAAACACUUCUCGAUUUGUGUGCUAUUUCCUGAUCAUUAUUUGAACUGAAAUCUUAGUCUCAGUUAUUGCCUUAUCAACAAUGUCCAUAUGAAAGAUGAGAAUUCUCGUAUCAUUUGUUUUCUUGUUUUGUUUAUUUAUUUAUUUAUUUAUUUUUUAUUUUAGAAGCAACACUUUUAGGUCGCCCCUUUUUCUACACAUCACGAUACAGAAUAGUAUCACAUAUUAAUUUAUAUAUCUUAUCUUUACUGUCCUCUAUAUCUUUUAUUGUUACUAUUUGUGGUUGCCAAAAGAAUAUCAUAUUCUCAUUUAUUUUCAUUUUCCAGCUCAUCUUGAUAUCAUAUCAAGUUAUCAGUAGUGUUUUUGCAACAAAGUUAGACUCCACAAUCUGGUCAUUUGAGGCUGAAAAUAAAUCAUCAACAUCAACUUAUCUGUGGUCUUUAUGCACCACUCUCAUUUCGUGUCUUUUUCCCAUGUCCUCAUUGUCCUUAACAACUUGAACAUCACAUAACCCCGUGCCUGAUUCCACCUCAUUUGAGCUUAAAAAAAACCUGUUCAUCUCCUUACCAACAUCUUGAUUACCAUUGAAGUCAUUUUAUUGGCCAUAAUUAUCAUUCACACUUGCAUUAGUAACCUUGCUUUCAGUAUCCAGAUUGGAGAUGAUUGGAGAUACAAGGAGUAGAGGCUUUAAUUAACUCUUUUGCUUUCAGUAUCUGAAUACAACAAAAUGGCACCAAAAACAAAAACUAAGAAGCAACACCCAAAUGAUGAGAGAAGAUGCAACAUGGCCAAAAAGCAAUUAGCCAAAACUAUAUCAUUGGAGACAAUAAACCACUUCAACUUGGCCAAAAAGCAACAUGAAGCAAUUGGAAGCAAUGAAAGAAUACACUAUUUGAAAACUCUAAAUUGGAGCGAGUCACCAAUUUAAACUAAUAAUAUCCACAUCAAGAGUAUAUGCAUAGCUCCUCCACAUGUUGACUUUUUUUUUUUUCUUAACUACAAAUCUAGCCACUUUUUUUCAUAAUUUAAUAAAAGCUUUGUUUUCUAUUUAUCAUUAUUUGUAUACACAUAGCAAGAAAAGCUUAUAACUCCAGUGGGUGCAAUCUUUGGGAUAAAGUAUUUACAUAUAAAAACAUUUUACACAUUAAUUUGAACCAAUCAUUAUAAAGUUAGAAAAAUCAUAUUACUAUAUAAAUUAAUAAAUGUUUGAAAAUCAUUAAUUAAUGAUUAUAACUACAAAGUAUUAAUAUUAUUUUAAUUUACUAACUGCGGUUACUACGAGUUAGUUUAUAAAGAAGCAAACCACUUAAAGAUACCUUUUUCACUAUUCAAAUACUAGAAAUCACUUGAUCCUCUUCUUAACAAACCAUUAUUAUAACCACAAAAAAGAAGAAAUAUGAACAACAAGGUCUAAGAUGAGAGAGAGUCAAUACUCAUAAUUUUCUCAGGCCAACCCCACUUCUUAAAAUUUGGACAAUUUUAUGCAUACAACUAGUCUAGGAAUGACAUUUAUUAUUAACAAAUUGAAAUGAAAUGAAAAUGAAAUUUAAAGAGUAAAAUGGAAUAAGAUGUGUGGUUUUCAAUUGGUACGAAGAGAGUAUUUGUAAUGAUAUAAAGGAGAAAAAAAAGGAAAAAAAAUGAAAAUGUAACUGUUAGAACGCGUUCCACAAACCUUUAACCUUCUUCUAACGGUAACCAAUGCGCUCAAAUCCAUCUCCUCGGCGGUACUGCCCGCCACCCGCCGGAGCCCACUUCCGAUACCCUCCACUCUAAUAAAUAUCAUUAUUAUCUUCCAAUUUUAAGUAUCAUGAUAAGUACUGUGUUGACUUUGGGUUGACAUAAGGAAUAACAAUUAUUUUCUCUAAAAUUCUCCUUGCGAAUCAUUAUUUUGUUGAAAUGUACCUUUUCUUUAUGAGCAUAAUUACUUUAUUGAAUUUAGCUUGCCUUGAUAAAUAUCUUUUAUUUUCGUGAAGUUUACAUUGUCUUAAUAAAUAUCAUUACCACUUUAAUAAUUAUCAUUUCUAAUUCCACAAUAAAUAUCAUUAAAUAGUUUUCUUUAAUAAUUAUUAGACAAAAUUACAAAAAUGGUCCCUGUGGUUUGCCAAAAGUCACGAAGUCAGUAUCUGUUAAUUUUUUUUUGAUGUAAAUGGUCCUUGUGGUUUGCAAAACUUGCAAAGAUGACCCUUUUUACUAACACCAUUAGUAUUCAGCCGUUAGGGACUAAAUCUGUAAGGGUAUUUUCGUCUUUUCAAGUAUAAAGGGACUGAAUUCGUGACAUUUAAUAAACCAUAGGGACCAUUUUUGUAAUUUGUCUUAAAAUAAUAUAAAUGAUAGAAAAUGAAGUGUACUAUAUUCGAACUUUGGACCUCCUACCUUUCUCCCUUAAUCAACCAAAGCUUUAACCAACUAGGCUAGAGCCGCACUUGAUUUAUAUUUUCGAAAACUAACUAAUAUUAUCUACAAAUCGUAAAUAAAUUAAUAAUAAAAUAUUAAAAAAAACAUAUUUUUACAAAAAAAAAAAAUUAAUAAAACAAAAUAUAUUUUUAGCGUAUUGUAAAAAAAAAAUACAAACAAUUAUUUGUUUUUUUACGUAUUUAAAAAAAUAAGUUUCCGUAUACUUUUAAAUACAUAAAAAAAUAACGUAAUAACAUAUUCUACAAAAACAUAAUCCUAAAAAACAUAAAAAAAAGUUUUUUGUAUAUAUUUAUUUUAUGUGAAGAUUCAGUUCCUAACGGCUGAAUACUAACGGUGAUAGUAAAAAGGGCCAUCUUUGUAAGUUUUGCAAACCACAAGGACCAUUUACAUCAAAAAAAUUAACAGGGAUUGAUUUUGUGACUUUUGGCAAACCAUAGGGACCAUUUUUGUAAUUAUGUCUAAUUAUUAUUAUUUAUAGAAAAGAAUUGAAAAAAAAAGCGACACCAUCAAGGCAUCGAAGGAAAACCCAACACCCUCGUUGACUCUCCUCUCUGGUCGUCUCCCUUCCUCGUUGACUUGCUGUUUCCCUGCCGACUUAACGCGGUUCGCUCUGUACUUUUCACUCUUCAUCGAUCUUUCUCAGCCGCGUCACUGUUGGUUCAUCCUUUAUCGCUGCUGUUUCAGUUCUCCUUGUCAUCCUGUAUGCUUCUUAAUUACAAGUUGUUAGACAAUUUCAUCUUAUGAAUCAUAAAUCACAUCAUAAUCAUUUCGUUAUUUCACUAACAGGUGAUUGAAUAUUGUCUAUUUCCAUUAUUUUUGUUUUAUUUUAUAUAUCAAUUAGGAUACUCCACACUCCUUCUAGCCCAAAGUCCAGUACGAUGAACAAAAUUUCCUGCACGUUGAGAAUUCUUUGAUCCUUUAAAAUUUCUUCCUCAAUUCCUCUAUAUUUUCUAAUUCGCAACACGAUUUUUAGAUUUGAUUCUUUUUGAAUGAUGUUUAUGAACAAGCUUCAAUAUUUGAUUGUCAUAAUGAGUGUUUUGCUUGUGUAUAGACUAAAGAGUGCAUUUAGCUUUGAAAUUUCUUCUAUUAUUGAGUUUGAAAUUGAACCCUUAGAAAGGGCAAAGUGGAAGGCGUGUUUUGCUGGCUUCAGAAACAUAUCAUUUGGAACAAGCCCAUAAAUAUUGUUAGUUGAAACACUUAAAAUAAGAUGUAUGCUGAUACUAGAUCCAGUUAUAUAUGAAUUUUAAAUUUGUGUAGAUUGUUGUGCUAAUUUUGGAGAUCCAUAAUUAAACAACCUUGUCAAGCAAGUGCUGUUUUUUUUUGUUUAAAACUUUACAUCUUUCAAUUGUUUGUUGAUAUCUAGUAAAAGCUUGAAAUUUCCUAUAUGCUUUGCAAUUUCCUUCAUGGGAGGUAAUAGUGGAUCUUGUAGUUAUUUCAAGAAUGGUAUUUUGGUGUAGAUUUGUUUGACGAUUACUCUACUGAAAUUCAUAUGGAUUUUACUUAGAUAAAUAAGGAUCUUUAUGUGGGCUAAUCAAAUUAAAACAGAGGCGUUGUAGUUUCAAUGCAUAAAUUGGUUUGUUAUUUUCUUGAAUCUAAACUUAGCCAGAAAAACAGGUUAAUUAAUUGGUAACAGCUUUUAAAAUAAAUUUCAUGGCAAUGUAAUGGUUAUUCUAUAUCCAUACUUUGUUUUUGUGGGAAAGAAUAUUCUAUAUAAAUACUUAGUUAGCUAUAUAUGUUUUGGCUAAAGGAUCCAAAAACCUGUCACAUAAUUAUUAUUGCCAUGAGAUUGCUGUUGUAGUGAUUUAACAGCGUCUCUUUGUAUUUCAAACACAGCAGCAACCGAUUAAUGCUUAUUCUUUUGUGUUCCUUUUCCAGUGUUUAUUUGAUGAGAUUGAAGUUGCAUAUUUUAAAUAUUAAUAAUUUGGAUUUUAUGUACAGGCUUUAUUUGAACCACAAGUUAAGAGCUUCUAGCUUAUUGAGAUACACAAAGGCUUAUCAACCCAUAACUCAUAAUGGUUAUUCUCUCUGAACUCCUCUCAGAAGGAUCUUCAUCUUCUUCAUCAAAUAGUGGUCAUAGUCCAACUGAUGGUCAAAGUUCAUCAACUGAUGGUUACAUGUACGAUGUAUUUUUAAGUUUUAGAGGUGUUGACACUCGUCAUAGUUUCACUGAUCACCUUCAUAAAGCCCUCAUUGAUGCCAAUAUCACUACGUUCUUGGAUGAUGAAGAGAUUGAAACAGGGGAAGAUCUGAAACCAGAACUAGAGACUGCAAUUAAGGCAUCUCGGGGUUCUAUCAUUGUGAUGUCUAAGAAUUACGCUUCUUCAACAUGGUGUCUGGAUGAAUUGGUGUUGAUCCUUGAGCAGCAUAUGACAUCUGAUCAUAUUAUUAUCCCCAUAUUUUAUCAUGUUGAGCCCACUCAUAUCGGGAAGCAACAAAGUAGCUUUGGAGAUGCAAUGGCUAAGCAUAAACAGACAAUGGAGGCAGAGACAAAUGCAAAUAAAAGAAGUGAAUGGGCUCAAAAGAUGGACCGAUGGAAUAAAGCCCUUAUAGAAGUAGCUAAUUUAAAAGGAAAAGACGUCAAUGGAAGGUAACUGUUUUCUUACCUAUAUUUCCAAAAUUCUUCAAUUUUGUUUGAUUAACACAUGAAUGUUAGUAUCAUCUUCUCCCAAUGCAUUUCAAUAAGUUUCUUUAACAUCACUAAAAAGACAUAUNUAUAUAUAUAUAUAUAUAUAAUGUAUUAGGAUAUAAAUUCCACACAUUUUUUUAUGCAUUUUGUGUUUCAUUAUAAGUUACUUCAUUUAGACAAACUGUUCCAAUUAUUUUGUAUGCUUUCUAUUAAGAAAACAAGAUUUGAAGGGUUUGCUAUGCAUCUACUAUUACUUAUACCAUACCACCUUAUAAUCAUAGUGUCUUUUAUGAUAAAUAACUUAUCUUACCUUUAAGCAGUAAAACAUUACUUAUAACUGGCACUUUUUUCAAAACACGCCACAAUGAUAGUUAUGAUGGUCUUGUGUAAAUGCAGUGAAGUUAGGUUGUCCAUUAGUGAAAUCUGGUAUUACAUUGGAACUUGUAUGGUUAGAACAUAGAAGUGUAAACACAAUAUCAUUUUAAUGUGAAGGACUUGAUUAAAAUUAAUAGCUAUGAUAUAAUUUUGAUUUUGGUUCUUUGGACAAAUUAAAUCUCCAAAUCCAGUUUGUUAGUUCUGUGGUUCAUAUAAAAUCUGAUUUCAGGCUAGAGACGGAAUUUAUUGAAGAAAUUGUGAAGGACAUCCAACGUAGGUUACAUGUACGCUUAAGGAGUGUCCGGCAACAACUUAUUGGGAUGGACUAUGAUAUUAAGUUCAUCACUUCAUGGUUGAAAGAUGGAUCCUCACAUACGGCAGACAUACUCACUAUUUAUGGUAUAGGAGGGAUUGGGAAGACAACUUUAGCCAAACAUGUCUAUGGGCUAUAUGCUCACAAAUUCCACAAAAGCAGCUGUAUUGAAGAUGUUAGUAGGGUAUGUGAUGGAAAGUUUAAUGGGUUGCUUGAUUUACAAGAAAAACUAAGCAGUGACAUUUCAAAAACAAGUUCCGUUAAAGUUCAUGAUGCUUCGGUAUACACCUCAAAGAUAGAGAAUGCAGUAGCACGUAAAAGGGUGUUUCUUGUUCUUGAUGAUAUUAGCACGCUUGAUCAGUUGGAUGCGUUACUUGGAAGCAAAGGUUUUCAUCCCGGAAGCAAAAUAAUUAUAACCACAAAGGAAAGACAUUUGAUAGAGAGGUGUGCACUAUUCAAAACAGACAUUAAACCAAAGCAUACAAAGCUCUUGCUUCAAGGCUUACAUGAGACCGAAUCAUGGAAACUUUUGUGUCUCCAUGCAUUCAAAUGCAACUAUCCCAAGACAGGUUAUGAAGGGGUGUUAUAUAAGCUUGUGAAGUAUUGUCAAGGACAUCCAUUGGCUCUUGUAGUAUUGGGAAAAUCUCUAUAUGAUCGAGAUGUAACUUAUUGGGAAGGGUGCAUAGAAGGGCUAAAGAAAGAAACAGAUUCUCAUGUGAAUAAUGUCUUGAGAAUGAGCUUUAACUCUUUGCCAUCCAAAAAUGAUAAGGACUUGUUUAAGUAUAUUGCUUGUUUUUUUGUUGGAAUAGAUAGAGAUGUUGCUGAAACAAUAUUAAAGGCAUGCAAUAUAAACAUAAGAUCUGGAAUCCCGAAUCUCCUCGACCGAUUCCUUCUUUCGAUUGGAUGGAAAAACAAAUUGAAGAUGCAUCAGUUGGUUCAAGAGAUGGGAAGGUUCGAAGUACGUCAAGAAUCACAUGACAAGCCAUGGAAGAGAAGUCUAUUAUGGUGUCAUGAGGAGUCAUUCAGAGUAUUAAAACAAAAAAAGGUAAGAGGUCAUAUGUGGUUUUAAAAGUAUGCAUGUUAAAAAUAUUGUGUAUGGUCUCAACUUUUUAUUUACAUUAUGUUUCUUCUUAGGGUAAGGGAAAUCUUGUUGGCCUUGCCCUUGACAUGCGCAUGCUUGAGAAAGAGAUGUUGGGUGCAUCAUAUAAGUUAAAAACAAAUGCAUUAAGUAAGAUGGAUAAUUUGAUGCUACUACAACUCAAUUAUGUUCACAUGAAUGGGUCUUAUGAGAACUUUCCACCGGAACUAAGAGGUUUGUGUAUGCAUGGGUUUCAUUUAAAGUAUAUACCUUCAGAACUACCUAUGGAGAAUCUUGUUGCUCUUGACAUGUCAUAUAGCAAUAUUGAAUCAUUUAUCGGUUGUUAUAGUAAUCCACAACGACUUGAGAAGAGGCAAAAGGUAACUUAUCUUCAUUUAUUAUUUUUCCAUGUUUAGUUGAAUUUCACUCCCAUUCUAACUUCUUUCCAUUUUUAUAGUUGGAUGGAUUAUGCUUAAAAAACAAAAGGUUGCUUGGAUCAUUGAAGGUUCUUAAUUUAAGUUCCUGUAAACAACUUUGUAGUCUUGGUGACUUUAACCAAUUCCCAGCUCUCGAGAGGUUAAUAGUUAGAAAUUGCACUCGUUUGCUUGAGGUUAGUGAAUCAAUUGAGCAGUGUGUUGAACUUGCCCUCAUCGAUCUAAGCUACUGCAAGCAGCUUAAAAACCUUCCAAGAAUCAUAGGCAUGCUAAAGAAAGUUAAAACAAUGUUGCUAGAUGGUUGUAAUCUGGGUGAAUCUCAAACUGAGGAUACAAAUUUAGAUAUGGAUUCACUGGACAUGUGCAAUGCUAACAAAAACAUUAGCAUAAGCACAAGAACCUCUUUCUCCACCUUUGUGGGUGCUAUACCAAGCCGUUUGAAGUUUUUUUCAAGUUCUUUGCCAAGAUCUCUAGUAAGGUUGUCCCUUGUAAAUAAUAAUUUGUCCACUGAAUCCUUUCCUAUGGAUUUUAGUAGUCUGUCCUUGUUAAAGGAAUUAUAUUUAGAUGGAAAUCCUAUCCAUUCCAUGCCCAAUUGUGUGAGAACCCUUCAUAGGGUUGAGAUACUUAGUAUGCUAAACUGUAAUAAAUUGAAGUUGGUCGAACAUCCUCCACACACACUAAAAAUCUUGCUCUAUUCUGAUCGCGAGUCUUUAGAAAAAGUUGUAUUUGAUCCCAAAAUGUCUCCCCUCAUGUUAUUUUAUUUUCCAAGAAGUUACACCCCUAGGUCGUAUGAAAUUGAAGGCAUGGUGAAAAUCCAGACAAUGGUGGGUGUUGAGGAAAAGGUAUUACGUAGCUUGGGCUGGAUUAAUUUACUCCAUAACAAAAGGAAUGUGGGAAAUAAUCCUACGGAAUCUGGAAUGCAGGUUUUGUCAAGUUAACUGUCUUUCUUUAUUUGACUACAUAAAAUACUAUAAUAUAAUCAUUUAAUUUAGAUGUUUGUAUUUGGCAGAUGUUAUAUGAAUUUGGAAUAUUCAGCACAACAUAUGACGCAGAGGAGAUGCCGAGUUGGUUUAUUCAUAGAAGCGCAGGGCCAUCGAUUUCAUUUACAAUCCCAUCAUCAUCUCCAAAUAAUCUCCUUAAAGGAAUCAACUUCUGCUUUCUGCAGACAAUGAGAGUUUUGUAUGAGUUGCCUGUAAGUCUACAUGAUCAUUUCCGCAUUACACCGAUGAUCACAGUUAGUAAUAUAACAAAGAACCGCAUGUGGAUAUACGAACCUCUCUGGGACAGAUACUUUGUAGAUAAAAAGUGUAGGGUGGUGUUAAGUCAUUGGAUGUUAGGGAUGAAUGAGAUGGAGCCUGGUGACCACAUUACUGUUACUGUUACAGAGCCAUCUUAUGAACUUACAAAGGAGUGUGGUGUGAGUCUUGUGUAUGAGGAUGAUGGAGAGAAGAAGGAUGAAGAAGAUGUGUUGGGUUAUUACAAGUCAUGGAAUCACAUAAUUGGUGGAGAUCUCUCUCCUUUUCAGACAACUACAGGACAAUUCAUCCUAAGAAACCAGCAGUUUGUUACAUGUGGCUUAUGUAUAAUGACCCAUUUAUUUUAACAGAUAACUUAAAUCUUUUAAACAACUGGAUCAUAUAUACUAUUGAUUUUAUUGACCCAUAAGAUAAGAUGUUGUUUUAUAAAAAUAUUAAAGAUAANUAUAUAUAUAUAUAUAUAUUAUUGAUUUUAUUGACCCAUAAGAUAAGAUUUUGUUUUUAUAGUAAAAAAUAAAAGUUGUACUUUUAAUUUAUAAAAUGAAUAGAUGCAAGCAUUGAUUCAGAAACGGGGACAGUUUUGGUCCCAGGGGUAUUUUGGGAAAACUUUCCUAAUUUAAAGUUUUGAGUUAGUUUAGGAUUCCAAUUAGUUUAGUAUAAAUAGGGUAUGGUUGUGUGACAUUUUUAAUUAAGUUUUUUUUCAGUAAUAAAAUAUGGAGAACAAGUAAUUUUCCCAGAUUUCUUCCUCCCCUGUUUCGCUCAUGCUCUGUUUCUUUUCUGCACACAGUUGAAGUUUCCAUUCUGUCAUAAUCAAGUGAAUUGAUUCUUGUGUUAAGUUCAUUUUCAAGAGAAUUAAGCGAAUUAAUUCCUUCAUCACUUUCCAUAAAUAGAUGGAUAAUGACCCAUUUAUUUUAAUACAUAUGUCAUAACUUAAAUCUUUUAAACAGGAUCAUAUAUACGAUUGAUUUUAUUGACCCAUAAGAUAAGAUUUUUGGUUUGGUAUGGUGUGGUGGCAUCCAUUAUACCCUACCCUGAGGAGUAUUUAAACUUUUCAUUUUCUAGAUGAUUGUCAGCUAAGAAAAUUCUAGUAGCAAAAAGUAUUUGAGAGGCCCUUCCUCUUGAAAGAAUGGGAAAACCCUAUUAUUUAUAUAAUUCAUUAUCAGUUAGUUGUUUCUGGUUGUGAAUUUCCUGCUUAUUCUCUUUACUCCGUGUGGGGCUUAUCAGCACACUCAAUUGAUUAAGUCUUUCGAUAUGUUGGAUCACAUAAAUAUAUAUGGACCCAAUACGUAUGACUACUUUGUCCAAGUAGGUUGUUUGUGAACAAUGAUUAACAUAUCACUUUUAAUCUAUUUUCAGUAUGAAAGGAAAAGUUUUGGUUCAGAGCUUUAUCCCUAAGGAAGCUUGACAUAAGUCGUCGCGCACAUGAGGUAUACUUUUUGACACCCAAACCUUUUCUCUCAUCGCGUAAACAAAAGGAAUACACAACCGAAUAUUAGGAAUCAAAGCUCUCAAUUCGUUUAGGGUGUAACAAAAUAAGGGAGUUAUAACCUUUCAUUGAAUGCAUUGAAGUGGAAAUAUUAAAAUUUGGAAUCAUUGAAUACUACAAAUAUCUGUUCAUACCAUGUCUAAACACUAAGGGUCAAAAUCUAGGAUUGAAUUCUCACCACUCUCUGUCACAGUGUAAUAUGCAAUUGAGACCAAUUCAUAGAUUAAUAAUUUUCAGUAGAUGUUGUUCUUGGGUAAAUUCUAUGUUAAUAACAAACUAUUACACUUUGGAAGACAAUAUGAAAUUGUGUAAGCAUAUUGCUUGAUUUUAAGGAAUCUUAUUGAUAGAUUCAUUCUUAGGAUAGAACCAAGCAACAUGUUGAGAAUGCUUAAAUUGCUUCAAGAAUUUGGAAGAGAUGUGUCACCAGGACUCAUUAAUUCUGUUGAAUCAAGAAAAUGUAACAUAAUAUAUACGCUUCCAAGUAACUAUCUGUUUUCAUAACAUUUUGUGUUGUAUCCUGUAUAAUAUAUAACUUUUAAAAUUUUCUUACUUUUCGUUUCUAUGUAGGGUGAGGGGGGAUCUUCAAGGUCUCAUCCUUCACAUGAAAAGGAUUGAGAAAGUGAGGCUACAUGACUGGCAUGAGUUGAAAAUAGAUGCAAUGGGAAAAUGGGUAGCCUGAUGCUAUUGCAAACUCAAUCGUCUAUGACCUACUUUUCCAGAAGUAUUAAGAUAAUAUAUACCAGCCUCUACUACAAAAUUGAACACAUUUGGAAUUGUAUGUUAUUUCCCCAUGAUUCUUUUAAGCAUAGGUAUCAAAAUUAAACACUUCUUGAAUUGUGUGCUAUUUCUUGAUCAUAAUUUGAGCUGAAAUCUUGACCAUUGCCUUAUCAACAAUGUCUAUCGUGUCUAUGGACUCAAAAGCUCAAAUCCUUGAUAGGAUUCUAUAAUUUAUUUGGAUACUAUGUAAAAUUCGCUUGCUUCACCUUAAUAUUUUAAGACUCCGAUUCUGAAAGAUGAGAAUUCUUGUAUCAUUUGUUUUUUUAAUUUUAGAAGCAACAAUUUUAAUUAGGUCGCCCCUUUUUCUCCACAUCACGAGACAGGAUAGUAAUAGUAUCACAUAUUAAUUUAUAUAUCUUAUCUUUACCGUCCUCUAUAUCUUUAUUGUUACUCUUCUUGUUGUCAAAAGAAUAUCAUAUUCUCAUUUAUUUUCAUUUUCCAUCUCAUCUUGAUAUUCUAUCAAGUUAUGAGUAGUGUUUUUGCAACAAAGUUAGACUCCAAAAUAUGGUCAUUUGAGGCUGAAAAUAGAUCAUCUACAUCAAGUCAUCACUUAUCAGUGGUCUUUUUGACCACUCUCCUUUAGUGUUUUUUUCAUGUCCCCAGUGUCCUUAUUAACAACUUGAAUAUCACAUAACCCCUAGCCUGAUUUCACCUCUAUAUGAGCUAAAACAAACCGGUUCAUCUCCUUACCAACAUCUUGAUUACCAUUGAAGCCAUUAGAGUUGGUCAUAAUUACCAUUCACACUUGCAUUAGUAACCUUGUUUUCGGUAUCCACAUUGGAGAUACAAGGAGUAGAGGCUUUAAUUACCUCAUUUGCAACAGCUAUAGUAUGCAACUCCAUCAUAAAAAUAAAUAAAUAAAUAAAUCAUGUUCCCAGUAAUGUAUUGAAACAAAUGAACUCAUAUUCGUUUCUUCAUGAUACUCAACACUUCUAUCGCUUCUGUUGACUAAGUAAGGUUCUUUUUAUUAGUCUUCAUGCACACUUUGCCUCCUAACCUCUAUUUUUUCGAUCUCUAACCACACAACCUGUCAUCUACCACUGAAUAAUGCAUCCCGAAACCUUUCUGAUUAACAACUGCCACAGCUCCUUCUCGUUCAUAGAGUUGGGGAAAUUAGAAAAAUGAAAAGUAUAACAAAAUAUGAUCCAUUGAUUUACACGAUCUACUAAACUUCCUUCCUUCUCUUAAUUGAUCGAUCUUUGUAGAAGAAAUUUGCCAUCCUCCCUCCUGGUUGCACUGUUUCUUACCUGAUUGAAAUCUUUUCAUAAAGAUUCCCCUGUUAUUGGAUUGAAGAAAGCUCACUCAUACUCCUAAUAACACCUAUCAAAUUCCCCUGAAGCAAUCUGGUAAGCCUCCUGAUGAAACAUGAAACUUCUGUAUAUAUAACUUCCUCUUUCCAACAGAAUUAGCCAUAGAAACACAGUAGUCCUACGUAUUGGGUACAGAAACGAUUGAAAUAAUAUUAAAACUGGAAUUNNNNNNNNNNNNNNNNNNNUAAUAGGAGACACUGAAAAUGGUGUGCUAUAAUAAACAAAUCAAUGAAACACGUUGCUAUUUCUUGCAUUUAAACCUUAAGAGUCAGUCAAAGAUGGUAUUCAUGAGCAUUCAAACCUUGAAAAUGAAUCAAAGCACGCAUAUAGGCACACAAGUCCCUGGUCUAUUGCAUAGAAUCUGUGAAAAGAAUUUAGCAUGCUCUUCAAAGUUAUUGAAACAAAGAAACAAACAAGACUAAAUUACAAAAAUCGUCUCUAUGUUAUAUUACUUUUUAUGCGUAUGGUCAAGUCGAUGGAUUUAAUGGACGGGCAACCAGGGACUAAAAGUGUGACCAAAUGUUGGUUUAGGGAUGGAAAAGGUAAAUGAUGAAACUAUCAGACCAUAUCGAUCGCAUUUUCAACUUAUUUUGUUAUUAGGACAUAAUACUUUGAAGAAUCUAUCCAAUUAUAAUAGUGAAACUUGCAUUGUAUCGGGAUGAUAUUGCUACAAUUAAUAGGUUUUCAAAGUAUAUUGCGGUAAUACGCAUGAAUGAAAUUAGGAUGCUAUUAGAAAACAGAUCAAAAUUUUGUUUCUUAGAUUUAGCCCUAAUUAGUAAAAUGAAAAACUUGAAUUGUUUGAGAUAUAAACAAGAUACAAAUUACACAUACUCGACAUUUUAAAAUGAACAGGUUACAACACAUUAAAUAACAAUGUGAUAUGCAUUUAUACCACUUAUCAAUUGGUGAGUCCUCAAAGACACAUUCUUUCUGAACAUCAAUGCUAUAACUAACUGUUACAUUUUUCAAAGUAAAAUGCCCUAAGAAAGAAACGGAAGUACCUUGCUAUCAUCAUAAAACCAAAGUCAUUUGAAGUUGCUAAAAGGUUUGGUAUGUAUAAAUAGUCCCGUGCUUCAUUAGAAGAAUUGGAACUUACCAGUGGAUUUACAAGAAGGAAUUGAGAUUAUAGAAAACAUUACAUAAAUAGUCCCAUGCAUCAUUGGAAGUCAUAUAUAGGUUAAAUCAUUAACUUUUUUCCUUGAUGAAAAUGGUCUUUGUGGUUUCAAUUCCUUACAUGGUUUGUUUCUAAUCCAUAUAAAAUGAUAUCUAUAUAUACCAUUUUAAUAGAUUUAUCUUUUUUUUUUUACUUAAUUUUAUUUUUUAAUAUGUUAACAUUGAGGGACCCACCAUACCAAACAGUUCACACACCUAUGUUCACCAGAAAGAUUACCAAAGUUAUAUUCAAGCUUAGAAAAUUACAAGAAAUUAAGGUUGUAUACAACAGUAAGAAUAAAAAAAAAAACUCCAACAAGAAAGAAACUAUCUCUUUUCUGAUCAUUUUGAGGUCUCUAAAAAUCUGAAAGCUGCAUAACUUUCAGAUUAUUGGGUUCAUCGGUAACAGAAUAUCUAAAAUUUGUUGUAGAAUAAUUUGUAUCACAAUAAAAGUGGUGCAUCAAGUUGCAGGUAUAAUUAUCUUAUUCCACUUACUAAAAGCAUGGAAAUGGAAUAUUUGGUUUAUAAAAAGAGUCCCAGAAGAAUAUACUAUAUAGCUCAGAUAAAAAUCUCCCCAAUCACCUGGAUAGACAAUACCAUAUGAACCAAUGUAAAAAACAGCAUAAGCAUUUCAUCAAAUACCUUGACUACGUGAUGUAAGAUGACCACAUUCGCCAAAAAAACACAAUGAAAGAAGGAAAAUUUUAGGAACAUAAUCAAGUAUAACAUUCUAAAGAUUGAGAACUGAAUUAAAAAAACAUCAUCAUAAUAAUAAUAAUGAAAUAAACCAAAACAAAGACAAUGUAACUUGAAAGAUUUAUAUAAAGCUCUGUUAUAUCUACUGACGGAAUAAGAAAUUGAGGAGGAGGAUGAUGGAAGUACAAGAUCUAACCAUGACAAAUGAACAAUGAGCGUUGGUUUGGAGAUGUUUCUGUCUAAUUUCCAAUACGGGUGAUUUUAAGAAGGCCUUCGAACACCUCACAUUAUUUCUUAUUCAAAUUUUGAUCCGGAAUGUCUAAUAAAGAUACCAUGGAAAGAUGAUCCGUUAGAAACAAUAAAUGUGGCUCUCGGAGCAGCGCGGUGGAGCAACUGAGCGCAAUAUGAAGCAUUGCCCUCGACCACUACCAGAAGUCAGGAAUUGAGUUUGAUUGUGCUUCUAGCCCUUGAACAUCGCUAUCUGAAAUUGGGAAUUGGGGACGAAUUUCAGGGAGAAAUUAGAAUUGAAGCAACGUCAGAAUGUGGGAUCGUGGAAAAAUAUACUUCACCUGUGUGAGAGCGAGGCGAGAGUGUUGCCGAUUCAACAAUGUUGUAACAUGAUAUUCAUUAUUUAGUAGGUUUGGUUCACGAUUAUUUUGGAUGGAAUUUGAAUUUGUUAAACAAAUUGAAAUUCAUUAAUUAGAUUUAGAAUUUGAAGGAAUUAAUCCAUGUUAUGUCUUUGGUUGGUAAAAAGUGAGAUGAAAUUUUAAUUUAUAAACAAAGGGUAAAAUGGAAUCUUUUUUCUCAUUGAACACCUUUAACAAAUAACAUAAAUCAUCCUUAACCAUUGAGGCCUAAAUUACCAAAUAGCCCUUAAAUUUAUAAAUGGAUACUCACAUAAAUGACUAUUAAGUAGGGGUGAGCAAAAACCGAACCAUCAAAACCAAAAGAAACCGCAAUUGACCAACCGAAACCAAUGCAAAAAACCUUUGGUGCGGAUUUAAUUUCUACAAAAACCGAAGUUAUCGGUGUGGUGCGGUUUUUAUCAAAAAACCGGUCCACCAAAACUGAACCGCACCAAAGACAUAUAAAUAAUAAAUUAUUAAUUUCUAUUAUAUACAUAAUUAUAUAUCACAUGUUAUUUGAAAAAGUAAUAAAUACUAAUGUAACUUUGACGAUAGGUUUAAUAAUUUAAUCAUAUUCGAGAGCAUUUAAAAGAAGUCUCAUUGUUCCCUUCUUCCUUUCCUGAUCUUGUGUUAGACGAAAUCAAUGUUUGUUUAAUUGUGUUUGUGGAACCAUAGAAAUGUGUUUAGGCGGAGGCCACUGUAAGUUUUUUUAACACGUUAAUGGUAUGACAUAAAUAGGUUUUACUAGAUUGUAUGACAUAAAUUGUUUUUUUUCCUACAAAACUUAAUUAAUAUGUUUAUUUAUCAAUGCUUUUGUAGUUUUGUAUAUAUAAAAAAGAACUUGUUUUACAAAAGGCUAUGACAUAAAAUCAUAAAUGAUUGUUUAAAAAAUACGUUGUUUAAAAAACAAAAAAAAAGUUGUCCAUAUGUUGGCUAUUUAGUUAAAAAUUGGCUAAAUUAGUUUCAAAAUAUGGCACCAGGCAAGAAUUAAGAAUUAUUGGACUUGCAUAGUUACAAAAAAACCUGACCCAUAACAGCAAAAACCGCACCAAUACGUAUACCAGAUUUAAAACUGAAACCGCACCAUUUAAACCGAAACCGCAUGAUAAAACCGCAAAACCGAACCAAUGAAAAACCGCACACGUUGGUUUUAGUUCUACAAAACCUCACCUUGCAUUUAGCGGUUCAGUAUUGCCCUAAAACCCCACCAAACCACACCAUACUCACCCUAGUAUUAGGAGCAAAGUUAUUAUCCUAAAAGAUUUGUACGACCAUUUUCUUGGCAGCACAUGACACAUGAAGUAUAUGAUAACUACAAAAGGGUCAAUGGCCUAGCGGUAUGGAGUGACCGUCUCAUAUGAGAGGUCAGGAGUUCAAGUCUCAGUGGAGACAUAGGUGGUUAUUUAGUAGUAGAUUAGUUAGUUUGCCGUUUCAAAUAAAAAAAGUAUAUGGUAACUUGAUGUGAAAAACGAAUUCUUUUAUGAGGAGGUUGAGUGAUAUACUUUAGAACAACCCCAAAGUUUUAUUUCACAUCUGUUUUUAGGAUAUGUUGAUAAGUUUGCAAGAUUUAUCUUUAUUUCAUACGAGAAGUUAUCUUUUAUUAUUAUUUAAGAUUAGUAUGUAACACCGGUCAAAAUUAGGUCAAAGAUAAUUCCCAUAAAUAUAAUUAACACACAUUAUAAUCAAUUUACUUUAAUAUUUAAUGAUAUUUUCAUUCAACACUACAAGUCUAAACGAUUCCAAAAAUAUAUAGAACGUCUAAAUCUGACUUCGCAUGAAGAAGUUAUGAUAAAUUCUAUCACUAUAGUAUUUGUAACAAGUGGAAUUUAAAAUAGACUUAGAAUUAGCUAUUGGAAUCUAGAAGAAAGUUGUAGUACUCGGAAAUACUAACGCGUGGAUAAAAGAACAUCAAAAAUGAAGUUCGUAUACAAAAGUUAUGACCUUCCGAAGAUGCAGUUGUCUAAGUGCAUGACACGUGGUAGAAACCCUAGCCGCCAUGGUUCACGACGUGAACAUUAAUUCCACGACGUGAAACGUGUCAGGGGCACUAAUCGGGGCUAGAAAACACGUGUUAAAGCUACGGGGUGACUCAUGGAUGUUCACGACGUGACCCUAGGCAUGUCACGACGUGAAUGUGCCAAAAUCAGCCUAUAAAUAGCGAUCAAGACCCUUUCAUUCCUUACACCUUCUACUUUUCUCUCCCUCAUUUUUCGUAGGUUGUUUCCCUUCUCGAGCCUGACAACGACGAGCCUUUGACCGUUUAGAUUCUAUAGAUCACGCUACUAGGGUGAGUUUCACGACCCCACUUUUUAAUAUUUUCGGGGAAAAACACAUGCUAAAUAUUGUAUAUAAGUUAAUAUUAUAUCUAUAUGAUAGUAUAUUCGUAUCAACAAAACUAGUUAUAUUAACUUGGAUAUAGUUGUUUUAAAUAUGAUAUUUUGAAAAUAUACAACUAUUAUCAACUUGUUAGCAUGUUACUGUACUNAUAUAUAUAUAUAUAUGUUAUGUGUGAUAUAGUUUCGGAGUUAUACUCGAAAGUUCUAUAUACAAAUUACUAAGUAUGUUUCUAUUGUUGGUUUUAUGUCAAGAUAAAACCUAGUUUUACCUCAAGUUAUAGCUGUUAUACUACCUAAAUAUUAUGAAAUUAGGAGUAAUGCUUAAAAGCAUUGUCUAGUAAGUUAGGGUUUUAGACACGAAUAUGCUGUUGUUGUUAGAGCUAUAGGAGUCGUUGAAGUCUACAUGAGCUAUUGUAUUCAUCAACUAAGAUUGGAAAUCUUAGGGAAAAUCCUCUGACCUGUAAACGUUAAUCCCGAGCGAGCGAGGAAGUCAUGUAUGAAUAAGAUACAGGUUGACAACCCCACUUGUGUUUGUUAGCUACAACCAAAUUUAAACGAGUGACGAACUGUCCUUUUAUUUGUUAAUUGUUCCCACGUUUAUGAAGCGUGUGGAACUUAUCUUAAGAUGCGAAACUUGUAGCAUCAAGCAGAGGUUUGAAACUAGGCAUACAGCCGCGGUUACGGACUUAUGGUAGCAUUAUGCAAUUGAGACCAAUUCAUAGAUUAAUAAUCUUCAAUAGAUGUUGUUUUUGGGUAAAUUCUAUGUUAAUAACAAAUUAUUGCAUUUUGGAAAACAAUAUGAAAUUGUUUAAGCAUAUUGCUUGAUUUUACGAAAUCUUAUUGAUCGAUUCAUUCUUUGGAUAGAACCAAGCAACAUGUUGAGAAUGCUUACAUUGCUUCAAGAAUUUGGGAGAGAUGUGUCACUAGGAAUCAUUAAUACUGUUGAAUCAAGAAAAUGUAACAUAAACUUUUACAAUUUUCUUAAUUUUCCUUGAUCUGUAGGGUGAGGCGGAAUCUUGAAGGUCUCAUCCUUCACAUGCAAAGGAUUGAGAAAGAGAGGCUACAUGGCUGGCAUGAAUAGAAAAUAGAUGCAUUCGGAAAAUGGUUAGCCUAAUGCUAUUGCAAACUUAUUAUAUCCUACUUUUCCAGAAGAAUUAAGAUAAUAUAUACCAGCUGCCUCUACUGCAAAAUUAAACACAUUUGGAAUCAUAUGCUAUUUCCCCAUGAUUCUUUUAAGCAUAGUUAUCAAAAUUAAAUACUUCUCGAAUUAUGUGCUAUUUUCCUGAUCAUAAUUUGAACUAAAAUCUUGGUCUCAGUUAUUACCUUAUCAACAAUGCAAUCGUGUCUAUGGACUCAAAAUCUUAAAUCCUUGAUAGGAUUUUAUAAUUUAUUUGGGUACUAUGUAAAAUUCGCGUGCUACACCUUAAUAAUAUUUUUAGACUCUGAUUCUGAAAGAUGAGAAUUCUCAUAUCAUUUGUUUUAUUAUUAUUAUUUUAGGAGCAACACUUUUAGGUCGCCUCUUUUUCUUCACAUCACAAGAUAGUAAAGUAAUAGUAUCAUAUAUUAAUUUAUAUAUCUUAUCUUUACUGUCCUCUAUAUUUUUAUUAUUACUAGUUGUUGUUGCCAAAAGAAUAUCAUAUUCUCAUUUAUUUUCAUUUUCCAGUUCAUCUUGAUAUCCUAUCAAGUCAUCAGUGGUGUUUUUGCAACAAAGUUAGACUCCAAAAUCUGGUCAUUUGAGGCUGAAAAUAAAUCAUCUACAUCAAGUUAUCAGUAUUCUUUUUGCACUGCUCUGAAAAAGCAAAGUAUGAAACUGUUGGACCAAAUUUAUAAAAAGAUAAAACACAGGGAUGAUUUUUGUAAUUUAGUCAACAAAUAAUUACUUGCAGAAGUAAAGGCAAAGUACCACUUCAUGAAGCCCUUUCUACACCAAAACACCUGCUUCAAAAACUAGCAAUGUACUUUCAUUAUUGUUGUUAUAGAAUUCUACUUCCAUUUCUUUCUAUUACAUCAAUGUAUUUUAUAUAUUUUUUUUCUUAUGAAAGCAUUAUACAUUGAAAUAUCUACCCAAUAAAAGCAUUGCAUUUUCAACUUAUUUUAUUAUUAGGGCACAAUACUUCAAAAACUAGCAAUGUACUUAACAACCAAUUUGGAUUGUCAUAUUGCAAUUCUCAAGCACACAUACAAACAAUCACGACUGUGUUGCUUGGAUAAUCCUUAGUCUACAUCUUAAGUCUUAAGAUAGAAAUGGCUUACAUCCUUUAAACCCUAAAAGCCAGUUUAUCACAAAUUAUCAAGCCAAAAUCAUUCAAUUGUGGUAAAAGUUAAUACAUGUUUCUGGUUAUUGAACUCAUUUGCUUCACACAUAUAAACUCUUGAUUGAUGGAAAUGCGUAUAUAAGUAAGGACUUUAAUUUACUCAAUAGCAAUCACGAUUCUCAACCAUCAUAUAGGAAAAUUGUUUUUUUUUUCAAACGCAGCUUUGGAUUUCGAAGAACAAAUAACAAUAAUGCUAGUAGUUGACUGAAUUUUACCGAGAGAAGUAUAUUUGUUAAUAGGUCACGCAUUUCGCAAUUCGUCAUUUAGAUGUUGAGCCUCGACUGACCUGGUUUUGUAGAAUAGCAAAUGACUUGAGAUUACGCAACUUCGGAUCCACUUCCUUAUAUUUCACAUCCGACUCGUCUCCCUUGGUUUCGUUGGGUGAAAGAAUUGUUACGAGAAGAAAUGGAAUUAGCCAAUUGAAUAGAAAGAAUUGAAAUUCAGGAGAAAAUUAGGUAAAUGGUCCCUUGCAUUACAAAAAGUCAUAAAUUAGUUAUUAAAUUAUUGUCAUUAACAUUUUUUGUGAUAAAAAUACACAAGUGAUCCUUGUGGUUGGUAGAAAAUACAAUUGGAAGUCUCUUUGAGGAAUUUUUAACAUCUUUUGGGCCUCCAUAAUGCUUCCCACUCAUUCUCAUUGACGCAGAACGAAAGCAAAAAUAAAGAAAAACUCAAAGUGUUUUAUUACUGGAAUUCCAAUUCUUCCCUUAAACAUAGAGGCUCAAACCCCUGAUUAGGUUUUGCAAUUAAAUAGUGGCAACACCAUGGCGAUAUAUGCCACAUUGUGACGCCAACUUAAUGCCACGAUAACUCUUGCCUUGGAUAUGUUGUGGGACUCCCUCACCACGUUGUGGCCAUAAGAGAUCCAACUUUCAAUUUAUCAAAAUUACAAAAAGGAGCAUUUCCGAAGAAGUUAUGAGUUGAUGAAAGCGUAGAGUUUGUCACACCCCCAAACCAGAACGGCGUAAACGUUCGGGGGCGGAGGACGUCAUGUUCAAUAUCAUAACAGUUCAUAGAAAGGAAAGUACACACCACCAUAUAUAAUAAGUUUGCAAGAUGUUUACAUAGUUGUAUUCAUUACAUGUUCAAAAUAAAGGUACAUAAACAUCAUUCAAAAUGAAGUAAUUAACGCCAGCGCGUUAAUCCCAAAAGUUGAUUCCCAACCUGCUUAGCGAUUUCCUGAGAAUACAAGUUAUUUCAAAGAAAAAGUGUCAACAAUUAAGUUGGUGAGUCCAUAAGUAGUUUAGAAAAAUUGGAUGCCAUUCCAAAAUGGGUGUAUGUUUUCCAGUAAACGUAGCGUUUCAAAAUGUAAAGAGUUAUGAUUUGUGGUGUUGGAAAUGAAUGCAUUAGCUCCAGAAAAUCCCAUAUUUUCCUUAAUAGUCGAAAUACGAUUUGUUGUGUUUUCCAAGAAAAACCCUUAUUUUCUUAUAAAAGUAUGAGAUGUAUAUAGUUGUUCAUGUUAUAAGUUGUAAAUGAUUGCACCGGGAAAAUCCCUUAUUUUCCUAUUAGUUGUUUGGUUUGUAUGCAGGAAAAACCCUUAUUUUCCUCACACAUAAUGCCAGUCUCUAAGACCGAAAAUUGCAAGAAACCGACGUUUCUCGUAAGUGUGUCAUAGUUUUAUAUAUAAUAAAACUACGCGAAGACCGAACCGGUUGGAUGAAGAAUAGUUUUAAUAACUACUCGCUCAUCAAAACUGAAUAUCAUAGUAAUUGUAUAUCCGAUGAGUUUCUAUAACCAUACUAAACAUAAUAUGCCUGUAACGACGUUCUUCAGGCGUCGCAGUGCUAUGACAACUGUCACCCCAAAAGACGGACUGUAGCUAACAGUCAGGGUGCGGGAUCAUGACUUCCCGUAUAGAUCUAUACACAUUUGACACGUUCUCGUCACGGGAGAUUCUGGUUAUAGACAGGACUUACUGCAGUACUUUCUAAUAAAGAAAAGUAACGUUUGAAGAUGUACGCGUCUCAUGGAUUCUCAAUUAAGUCUAUAUUAAAGUGAUAGUUUUGUAUGCAAAGUUUAUCUUUUUUUCAAAAUGUUUGAUAAAGCAAAAUCAUAAGUUUUUAGAAUGUAUAAAACGAUUUAACAAUGAAAGAUCAUUAUAUGCUUCGUAUAAGUCUAAUGCACACAAAGUAUGACAAGAGUUUUCCAUAAUAGUAAUGAGUUCCAAGUGGUUUAUUUGAUAAUAUAAGUGAAGUGAAACUUUAUAAAAUACACGAUAAUAACCGUAUGUUUACUUGUAUUCCCCCCCUAAAAGAGUGUAAAAGUAUUUAAAAAUGUAUUUAAAGUGUGUUAGAAAGGGGUAUGAACUCACUUGACAACUUGAAGAUGGCGAGAUGGAAAAACGGCAGAGUUUCGUCUCGGGAAAUGGAUUUUCCUCGGAAAUCUCGGGAUUCCUCGGGAGAAAAUCGACCUUCGGAUCUUGCACGAAGCGACCAGGGCUUCGGGGUAGUACGAGCACGGAAAACGAGGAAAAACGCAAGAGAAAUGAGAGAGAAUGAGCCCUUUCUUUGGAAACCUUCGUAUGCUAUUUAUAGAGAGGCUGGUCUGCCUCAGUACGCGGGGCGUACGCUAGUACGCGGGGCGUACGCUAGUACGCAGCGCGUACGCGUACGUCACGCAUGACCGAGGCCUCGACUGCCUCGGCUNUGGGUCGGAUGGGACGCCGGGUCGGAUGGGACGUCGGGUCGGACGGGUCGGACGGGUCGGCUUCCUCGGAUAUGGCGACGUGGACGAUCCGAGGCCAAUCCUCUCGGUUACGCGGGGCGUACAGGAGUACGCAGCGCGUACUUCGGAGAAGGACGCUGACUCCUCUUCGGAUAAUAUCCGAAUUUUGAAUAAAAAUUAUAUAUAAAUUAAUUAUCAAACUUCAAAAAUUCAUAUCUCCCUCAUACGAACUCCGUUUUUGGCGUUCUUUAUAUCCCCGCGAAGGUGAGACUACGAUCUACAACUUUCAUUUAGAUUCCGUUGGCAAAUUCCGAAAUUAUUUUUAUUAUUUAUUUAUUAAAGUGACGUGUUUAAGGAAUUUCUUUAAAAAUUCAUAACUUAUUCAUAUGAUGUCCGAUUUGAGCGUUCUUUUUAUGCAUGUUUGUAGUUUAACGAUAUCUAUCACUUUCAUUUAGACACCUAAGGUCAGAAAAUGUUUUAUUGAAACUUUGCGUUUUUACGUAACUUUGUAUUGCUGGUUUUUGUCGGAAAACUUAUAAUGAGCAUAACUUCUUCGUUAUAACUCGGAUUUUUGUGUUAUUUAUAUGUUUGGAAACCUUAAGAUGAUAACUACCACAUAGUGUACUCCAAAUAGAGUUUUUGAAUACUUCAUAUUCUAUUUCCUUUCUCAAGGAGGUUACAUGACUCGAUCUUUACUGACAUGAAAUAACGGGUUGUUACAGAGUUUCUCAUUGCCUUUUCAUCGAUAUAAGGAUUGUCGCACAUCGUACAAGUUGAGUACACCCCGCGUACUCAUCAGGAAUGGAUUCCGGUGUUUGGGCUUCGGUUUGGGCCAUCUUUUGUGUUUAGUUGCUUUAGGCCAUAUUGCGUGUGACAUCCCAAAAAUCUCGGCCAGAAAAGACCGAUUUUCAUUUAUGCUUUUAAAAUAAUUUCAGAGUAAAUCCUUUUGAUUUGAAAGAGUUGCGGAAUUUGUUCCCAAAAACAAAACGUGAUAAAAUAAUAUUUACCAAAGCAUUUCAUAAAAGAAAUGUAUUUUCAUUAUAUAAUCAAAACUCGGGAUGUCAUGUUCCGAUACAGACCAUAAAGCAUAAACGAUGACAUUACAAGUCAUUCAACAAAUAUAUACAUAUACAGACUUUUAAACAAAACAACUUGAUGGUUCAUCCAUCUUAUGCCCUUGCACCACUUCCUGUAAUACAAAUAAAACUGAGUGGGUCAGGCGUGGGAGCCUGGUGAGCAUAUAGGGUUUUCAACCCACAAUAAAUAAUUAUAUUUAAUUCCACCAAUCAACAAUAACCCAAUUACCCAUUCCCAUUAUUCUCACUUUACGUCCCUAAAACAACUAACACAAGGGACCCUAGUCUUAGAAUAUUUGAUCGGGGCAACAACACAUGCAUUCGGGGGUUUCCCGACAAUAUAUGUCAAACAAGGCAACCGUGAGGGGGAUGGAGUACAGCGAAUGAACACCCAAGUUCAUUAAGACCUACAGGUGGCGAACCUGCUAGCGUUCCACAGGACUUUCUAGAAAAGUCUGUGGUCGUCAUCUAAACUCCGUUAGAUGACUGAAUCAAAACAACAACGAGGCCUCUCAUCUGUUUAUUACACACCAACUAUCUACCCAUGUUCUACCCAACAUAUUAGUAGAUAAAAACAUACAUUUUUAUACAUAGUUUAAAAACCUGUAUAGCAUGCUUUAAUCAAUACAUAUUCCAAAACAACAGAUGAGACACAUACACAUAACACGUAUUUCAUUGAGAAUAAAUCAUAUCUAUGAGAUAGAAGAAAGUGAAUAUACAUUCUCGCAUAUAACAAGAAAAUGUACACAUAACACGUAUUUUAUAUUAAAUACUUAAUAAUUAUGCGUUAGAAGAAAGUAACCACACACUCACCUGAUCAGAAGAUGAUCGGACAGCACUACGGCUUGCAGAAGUAGUAAUCCUCAACAGAUCUGGAGGAUCUCAACAGAUCUGGAGGAUCUCGAGAAUCGCACUUCUUGGGAUCCCGGGAGCAUGAAACUUCCUUUUUAAUUUGGAUAUGAGGUUCGGGGUGUCGGGAUGGCUUCGGGGGUUUAUGCGCAGAGUUUCGGCACAAAGAGGAGAAGAAAUGAGCAAAAAUACCCGGAACCCUCGCAUCCUAUUUAUAGGAGGUUGAGGCCUCGUCGUACGCUGGGCGUACAGCCUUACGCGGGGCGUAAGCCGCCGAAUUCGUCACUGCAUGCAUCAUCCGAAGAACUCGAGUGCGAGGUGCAUCAUGCUUCGCGGUACACUGAUCAUUGAUUCCUUCGGAUAUACAUCCGAAUUAAAGAUUAAAUUUAAAUACUAAUUAUUUAAUAAACUUCGGAAAUUCAUAUCUUCUUCAUACGAACUCUGUUUUCGACGUUCUUUAUAUCCACGCUUAGGUGAGACUACAUUCUACAACUUUCGUUUAGACUUCGUCUGCUAAUUUUGAAUUUAUUUAUAUUAUUUAUUUUUAGUAGGCCCGGACAGGAAAACUUCGUUAUAAAUUCAUAAUUUCUUCGUUUGACGUCCGUUCUCGCCUAACUUUUUAUCGUUUUACUACAAUUAAUGAGAUCUCCGAUUCUCAUUUAGAUUGUUUCGGCUAAAAACCGCUCGGUCUCAAAUUGAGUAUUCGGGCUGCAUACCGCUAAGUCAAAACUUCGAAAAAUUAUAACUUCCUCAUACGAAGUCAGAUUUUGGCGUUCUUUUUAUGCACGCUCUCGGUUUAACGAACUCUACGACUUUCGUUUAGAUUACUAAGGCUAAAUAUCGCUCUAACGUAAAUUUCACUUUUUACGUCAUUCAGCGUUUGUCGGUUCUGUCGCGAAACUUCGACAGGUUAUAACUUCUUCGUUAUAACUCGGAUUUCGACAUUCCUUAUAUCUCCGGAAUCCUUGUUUCGAGCACUACAACCUUAUGUAAAGAUAUUGAGUUUAUUUUACACUUAAAUUUUGACGCUUAUUUUAUUCUUAAUUAAUCAAAUCACAUAAUUAAGCAAUUAAGCACAAAACACAUAAUACUCAAAUAAUUCAUCAUUAAUACUUCAAAAAGAGUUACAAGGGUUAACCUAGACUAUUAAAUCAAUGAAAAUGCCUAGCCUGGAAACGCAGGCGUUACAAUUCUCUCCCUCUUAGGAUGAUUCCAUCCCCGGAAUCACACAUCAACAAACAAAUGCGGAUAGCGACUCAACAUGUCACUCUCCGUUUCCCAGGUGAGAUUUGACCCAUUCGUAUGUUUCCAACGGACAAGCACUAAUUCGACCAUCUUGCAUCGAAGCUUCUUAGUCUUUCGGUCAACAAUUGCCUCAGGUUCUUCAAUUAACCUCUUGUUUUCAUCAAUUCUCAAUUCAGAAAUUGGAAUUAUAUCGGGAACUUCUCCCGUGAACUUCCUCAAAUAACACACAUGAAAAGUGUUGUGAAUUCCAUUCAGUUCUUCGGGUAAUUCGAGCUUGUAAGCUUGGUUCCCAAUCCUCUGAAGAACUUUAAACGGUCCAAUAAACCUUGGACUCAACUUUCCCCUUUUACCAAAUCUUAUAAGUCCCUUCCACGGCGAGACUUUAAGCAAAACCGAAUCUCCAACCUCAAAAGUCAUCGGUCUUCGCUUCUUGUCAGCAUAGCUCUUUUGAUGAUCUUGAGCUGCUAACAUCCUUUCCCUAAUCACUUUCAACUUCUCAGCAGUUUGAUGGACCGUCUCGGGACCCAUAAACUGUUUUUCCCUAGCCUCAAGCCAACAAGACGGCGUACGACACUUUUAUCCGUACAAAGCUUGAUAAAGUGCCAUCUUUAUGCUUGAGUGGAAACUAUUGUUGUAGGAAAAUUCUACCAAAGGUAAAUAUUCAUCCCAAUUACCUAGGAAUUCUAGGGUACAUGCUCUUAGCAUAUCUUCAAGUGUUUGUAUUGUUCUUUCACUCUGACCAUCAGUCUGCGGAUGGUAAGCUGUACUUAAACAUAACUUGGUACCCAUUUCCUUUUGUAGACUUUUCCAAAAUCUUGAGGUGAAACGGCUAUCACGAUCCGAUACAAUCGUUAACGGAACACCGUGAAGCCUCACAAUUUCCUUCACGUAAGAAUUCGCAAGCUUUUCCAUAGACCAUUUCUCCUUGGCCGCUAUGAAAUGCGCACUCUUAGUGAAUCGAUCAACGACCACCCAAAUCAUGUCGUGACCAUUCUUUGUUCUGGGCAGUUUAGUGACAAAAUCCAUAGCAAUGUCUUCCCACUUACCCAUAGGCACAGGCAAAGGUUCUAAACUCCCGUACGGUUUCUGAUGUUGUGUCUUGACUCUCGCACAAGUCACACACUCGGCCACAUACUUUGCAACAUCAAGCUUCAUCGUCGGCCACCAGUAGUAGGGUUUCAGGUCCCUAUACAUUUUAGUGCUACCCGGAUGAAUCGAGUACAUGGUCUUGUGAGCUUCUUCCAUCAGAAGAUCCCUAAUUCCUCCUGACUUAGGUACCCAAAUACGAUCUUGGAAUACCUUCAGUCCAUGACCGUUUGUACCAAACACCAACGUUUUACCCAAACGUUCCUCCUUCCGGUCAUUCUUCUCAGAAGCUUCCUCUUGAGCUCUCUUUAUACUCUCCACAAUUGUCGAGACAACUUCUAUUUUCAAUGCUCUUGGCCUUUUCCUUUCAACAUUGACUUUACGACUAAGACCAUCAGCAACAACAUUAGUUUUACCGGGAUGGUAAAGUAUCUCACAGUCGUAGUCCUUGAGUAACUCUAGCCAGUGUCAUUGCCUCAUAUUCAAUUCUUUCUGAUUAAAGAGAUAUUGGAGACUCUUAUGAUCAGUGAAAAGUUUGCACUUCAUGCCAUAGAGGUAAUGCCUCCAUAUUUUUAGAGCAAAAACUACCGCUGCCAACUCCAAAUCAUGAGUCGGGUAGUUCUUUUCAUGCUCUUUUAGCUGUCGAGAUGCAUACACGAUCACGUUAUCUCUUUGGGUCAAAAAACAACCCAAUCCAACUCCAGACGCAUCGCUAUAAAUAGCGAAGUCUUCAACUCCAUCGGGUAGAGAAAGAAUCGGUGCCUCGCAUAACUUCUUCUUUAGCUUCUCGAGUGCUUCUUUAUGCUUAUGACUCCAAGCAUAAGUAGCUCCUUUGUGGGUCAAAGCUGUCAAUGGACUAGCGAUCGAAGAAAAGCCUUGGAUAAACCUUCGGUAAUAUCCGGCUAAUCCUAAAAAGCUUCGGAUCUCCGUGGGACUUUUCGGUUGUUCCCACUUCAUUACAGCUUUAAUCUUUGCAGGAUCAACCAUUAUCCCUUCUUGGUUGAUCACUUGACCCAAGAAUUGGACUUCACGAAUCCAAAAUCACAUUUGGAGAACUUUGCAUACAACUUCUCCUGCUUCAAAACUUCUAACACUUCUUGCAAGUGUCUGCCAUGCUCCUUAUGGCUUUUCGAGUAAAUCAGAAUGUCAUUUAUGAACACUAUCACGGAUUUAUCAAGGAACGGAUUACAAACACUAUUCAUUAAAUCCAUGAAUGCUGCUGGAGCAUUGGUUAGUCCAAACAACAUAACCAAGAACUCAUAGUGUCCAUAUCGUGUUCUGAACGCAAUCUUCUCGAUAUCCUGCNAUCCUGACCUAAGAUCGAUCUUCGAGAAAUAGCUCGAACCUUGCAAUUGAUCAAACAGGUCAUCAAUCCUCGGCAACGGAUAUCUAUUCUUUAUUGUUGCCUUGUUCAGCUCUCUGUAAUCGAUGCACAUUCUCAUACUUCCAUCUUUCUUCUUUACGAAUAACACCGGAGCUCCCCAGGGCGAUGAACUAGGUCUAAUGAAACCUUUGUCCAAUAACUCCUGAAGUUGCAUCAUCAGCUCCUUCAUCUCCGUCGGUGCUAAUCGAUAAGGUGCUUUUGCUAUUGGCGUGGUUCCUGGUAACAAGUCAAUUCUGAACUCCACUUGUCUAUCAGGUGGUAAUCCAGGAAGAUCUUCGGGAAAUACUUCUGGAUAAUCACACACCACUGGAAUACUCUGCAUCACCUUCUUUUCCUUCUUAGCAUCAAUCACGAAUGCUAAAUAUGAUGUACAUCCCUUGGUCAAACACUUUCUGGCUUUCAUUAGGGAAAUGAUUCCAGAAUUUACUCAGCGUUUGUCCCGAAACACCAUAAACGAAUCUUUCCCAGGUGGGUUUACUUUAACUAUCUUCUUCUUGCAUAAAAUUUCGGCAUCAUUGGCGCUAAGCCAAUCCAUUCCCAGAACGACGUCGAAACCAUUAAGUUUGAUAGGAAAUAAUUCAUCGUGAAACUUAUUCCCAUUAAGGUCGAUUAAGAUGUUUUUCAUACGAUGGCUAACAGGUACAAACUUGCUACUAGCAACUUCGACUAAUAAAGCAUUAUCUAGUCUAUCAAUAGGCAAAGCUAUUUUUCUACCAAACUCAUGCGAAAUAAAGGAGUGGUUGGCUCCAAAAUCAAACAAAAUUUGAGCAGGUAAUUCGUUUACGAGAAAGGUACCUGAAGCGACAUCAACUUUAUCUUUAGCAGCCUCAAGUGUCAUUUGGAAGGCUCUCGCCUUCGGCUUUGGUGGAAUGUUGGGCUCAGCUGCCUCCUUCUUCUUCGGACAGUCUUUCAAAAUGUGCCCCUCUUCAUUGCAACCAAAACACAUCCUUUUGUUGGACGAACACUCAUUGGCAAAAUGCCCAAUUUUUCCACACUUGUAGCAGGUUACAUCCUCACUACACUUCCCAAAGUGCUUUUUCUUACACUUAUCACACCAUUUCGCUUCGCAUCCUUUUCCUCCAAACUUUUUCGAAUCAGAUUUCGAAAAAUUGCUUCUCUUACCGGAACCAGAUGUUCCCUCAAACUUUCUCUUCUCACCAACCUCAACCUUGUCGGUGGUUCUCCCCUUAAUCAUGUUCUCAACAGACUUGACAUCCCAAAUAGCUGCCUCUAGAGCAGGUGCCUAACAAACUGGCACUGCGUACUCCCAUGAGAGUCCCUUUGCAUACCGGUCAACCUUUGUUAACUCAUCUGGAACGAUGCGCAAAGCAAACUCCAUCUUAUCGGUAAAGUUAUUAGUGUAUUCAUCAACUGACAUGCUGCCUUUCGUUAAUGUUAGAAACUUGUUCAUCAACUGAGCCGAGCAGAACUUGCGCUUGAACUGCACCAAGAAUUCUGCCCGUGUCAAUUGCAGUGGCUCAUUAGGGCUUAAAGUCUUCCCUAGAGUGUUCCACCAACGAACGGAUCCACCUCGGAACUGACGUACUGCGAACGNCCCUCCCCCCCCACCCACAAGUCAUAAAGGCUAACUCCAUUUCGGAGAUCCAAUCCAUCACUCCGAUCGGGUCCUCCUUUCCAGUGAAGGUCGAUGGUUUGCAAGUCAGAAAGUCCUUGUACUUGCAUCUUAUUCCAUCAUUCCUUCCAUCAAGGUUGUUUUGCCUAACUAUCAGUGGGUUGGCUUGACCAGCAGACCCACUGAAGUUUCCACCUUCCGAGUGCCCUUCAUUAAAUUCAGGCUCUUCCACAUGAAUUUACAGUUCUUCACGAUUCUGUUGAAGCAACCACCUAGUUUCAUCCAUCUGACGAUCCAACAUUGUUUGAAUCAUCAUUUGCACACCAGCCAUGGUUAUUGGCUCAGGUGCUGCUGCUACGACAGGUAUUUGUUCAAUCACUGGUGGUUGAUUCCUGUUUUCAUCAGCAUUUCCAACUCCACUUCUUGUUCUCACCAUUUUGAUCUACACACCGAAUAAGGUGAAAUUAGAUCCUCAAUCACGAUAGAUAUUCAAAUCAUCCUUAUCACUCCGAAACGUUCACAUGCUAGUUCUAAUAUUGUAGACGUACGCUUAGAAUCCUACACACAUAAAGUUUCUAGAUCCGGUUGGCAACAGACCAUAGAUCCGAACAAAUAAUAUCAUAUAUGGCAACAUAUAACAUUUAGCACAUAAAAGCAUUUUAGGCAACUUUCCUAAAAUAAACUAGUGCUCGUGUCUAAAACAUAAUAGACACAUAUCUCAAAACUUCACUUAGCAUUUUAAGUUUAAGUCUCGAAAUCCUACAAAUUCCUAGUUCGCUUAAACUAAUGCUCUGAUACCAACUGUGACAUCCCAAAAAUCUCGGCCAGAAAAGACCGAUUUUCAUUUAUGCUUUUAAAAUAAUUUCAGAGUAAAUCCUUUUGAUUUGAAAGAGUUGCGGAAUUUGUUCCCAAAAACAAAACGUGAUAAAAUAAUAUUUACCAAAGCAUUUCAUAAAAGAAAUGUAUUUUCAUUAUAUAAUCAAAACUCGGGAUGUCAUGUUCCGAUACAGACCAUAAAGCAUAAACGAUAACAUUACAAGUCAUUCAACAAAUAUAUACAUAUACAGACUUUUAAACAAAACAACUUGAUGGUUCAUCCAUCUUAUGCCCUUGCACCACUUCCUGUAAUACAAAUAAAACUGAGUGGGUCAGGCGUGGGAGCCUGGUGAGCAUAUAGGGUUUUCAACCCACAAUAAAUAAUUAUAUUUAAUUCCACCAAUCAACAAUAACCCAAUUACCCAUUCCCAUUAUUCUCACUUUACGUCCCUAAAACAACUAACACAAGGGACCCUAGUCUUAGAAUAUUUGAUCGGGGCAACAACACAUGCAUUCGGGGGUUUCCCGACAAUAUAUGUCAAAUAAGGCAACCAUGAGGGGGAUGGAGUACAGCGAAUGAACACCCAAGUUCAUUAAGACCUACAGGUGGCGAACCUGCUAGCGUUCCACAGGACUUUCUAGAAAAGUCUGUGGUCGUCAUCUAAACUCCGUUAGAUGACUGAAUCAAAACAACAACGAGGCCUCUCAUCUGUUUAUUACACACCAACUAUCUACCCAUGUUCUACCCAACAUAUUAGUAGAUAAAAACAUACAUUUUUAUACAUAGUUUAAAAACCUGUAUAGCAUGCUUUAAUCAAUACAUAUUCCAAAACAACAGAUGAGACACAUACACAUAACACGUAUUUCAUUGAGAAUAAAUCAUAUCUAUGAGAUAGAAGAAAGUGAAUAUACAUUCACGCAUAUAACAAGAAAAUGUACACAUAACACGUAUUUUAUAUUAAAUACUUAAUAAUUAUGCGUUAGAAGAAAGUAACCACACACUCACCUGAUCAGAAGAUGAUCGGACAGCACUAUGGCUUGCAGAAGUAGUAAUCCUCAGCAGAUCUGGAGGAUCUCUACAAAAAUCGAAUUUGGAUAUGAAUCGCACUUCUCGGGAUCCCGGGAGCGUGAAACUUCCUUUUUAAUUUGGAUAUGAGGUUCGGGGUGUCGGGAUGGCUUCGGGGGUUUACGCGCAGAGUUUCGGCACAAAGAGGAGAAGAAAUGAGCAAAAAUACCCGGAACCCUCGCAUCCUAUUUAUAGGAGGUUGAGGCCUCGCCGUACGCUGGGCGUACAGCCUGACGCGGGGCGUAAGCCUCCGAAUUCAUCACUGCAUGCGUCAUCCGAAGAACUCGAGUGCGAGGUGCGUCAUGCUUCAUGGUACGCUGAUCAUUGAAUCCUUCGGAUAUACAUCCGAAUUAAAGAUUAAAUUUAAAUAUUAAUUAUUUAAUAAACUUCGGAAAUUCAUAUCUUCUUCAUACGAACUCUGUUUUUGACGUUCUUUAUAUCCACGCGUAGGUGACACUACGCUCUACAACUUUUGUUUAGACUUCGUCGGCUAAUUUUGAAUUUAUUUUUAUUAUUUAUUUUUAGUAGGCCCGGACAGGAAAACUUCGUUAUAAAUUCAUAACUUCUUCGUUUGACGUCCGUUCUCGCCUAACUUUUUAUCGUUUUACUACAAUUAAUGAGAUCUUCGAUUCUCAUUUAGAUUGUUUCGGCUAAAAACCGCUCGGUGUCGAGUAUUCGGGUUGCAUACCGCUAAGUCGAAAUUUCGAAAAAUCAUAACUUCCUCAUACGAAGUCAGUUUUUGGCGUUCUUUUUAUGCACGCUCUUGGUUUAACGAACUCUACAACUUUCGUUUAGAUCACUAAGGCUAAAUAUCGCUCUAACGUAAAUUUCACUUUUUACGUCAUUUAGCGUUUGUCGGUUCUGUGUCGCGAAACUUCGACAGGUCAUAACUUCUUUGUUAUAACUCGGAUUUCGGCAUUCCUUAUAUCUCCGAAACCCUUGUUUCGAGCACUACAACUUUAUGUAAAGAUAUUGAGUUUAUUUUACACUUAAAUUUUGACGCUUAUUUUAUUCUUAAUUAAUCAAAUCACAUAAUUAAGCAAUUAAGCACAAAACACAUAAUACUCAAAUAAUUCAUCAUUAAUACUUCAAAAAGAGUUACAAGGGUUAACCUAGAGUAUUACAUCAAUGAAAAUGCCUAGCCUGAAAACGUGGGCGUUACAUUGCGCCAUCAGAUUUUGAUCUAAUAUUUAUUUGUGGAGACCCACUAUGGGAUUUGGGCCCAAUUUGGAAAAUUAGGCAAUAUUUGGGCCUUGGGUGUUUAAUUGGAAUUUGGGCUUUUGGAUUGUUGAAUUGGGCCUUGGAUUUGGGCCAAGUUAUGAAGAGGCUAAAAAGGGCUUUUACCCUAGUUUGGACACUUUGUAUGUGUCAGAUUCGAUUCUUGAUAGAUGAUUAACUUGUGAUUGAUAGUGCGAAGAUUUUAGCGGGGGCCAACAGUCAGAGAUUUAUCUGCGGGAUUCAGAAGUGCAAGGUGAGUCUCCUCACUGUGAUAUUGGGUCGAAGGCACUGAUGCCAGUCUAUUGGUUUAUAUAUCAUCGGAAGACUAGGAGGUGACCCUUGGCACUUAUAUGUGUCACACCCCCAAACCUGAACGGCGGAAACAUUGGAGGCGGAGGACGUCAUGUGCAGUACCAUAACAAUUAAAUAGUAAAGAAAGUAUACACCACCAUAAUAUAUAUAUAUAUAUAUAUGUAUAUAUAUAUUUGAAAAGUUUACAUGAUUGUAUGUGUUACAUGUUUGAAAGUCAAAUACAAUAUGGUGUUCCAAAAUAUGUUACUAACGACAGAGCGUUAAUCCCCAAAAGUAGUUGCUAACUUGGUUUAGCGAUUCCCUGAGAAUACAAGUUAUUUCAAAGAAAAAGUGUCAACAAUUAAGUUGGUGAGUUCAUAAGUAGUUAUUUGUGUAAAUGUAUGACAUUCGAAAGUUCACGUUUGUUUUCUAGAAAACUCGAUAUUUUCUUAUGAAAUGAGUUAUGAAUCGUUGUUGUAUGAAAUGAAUGUAUUGAACCAGGAAAAUCCUAUAUUUUCCUAAAUGUGAGAAGCAGUCUUAAAUGUCCAAGACUGUAACUUGUAAGCAAAUAUGUCAUGCUUAAACUGAUAACAUAUAGUUUUAUUAGUGAACAAAACUAUAAGAAGCUUGUAGUUGUAUGUAAAAGCAACCGUAAUAUUACUUUUCCCGUAAAAACAUAAUACCAUAAUAAUUGUCUAUCCAGUGAGUUUUCAUCACCGUACUAUGAUGGAUUUGCCUGUAGCGACGUUCUUCAGGCAUCGAAAUGUUAUGACACUUGUCACCCUUAACCUGCCGGUCCGGUUGUAGCUAACAGCCAGGGUACGAGAUCAUCAAUCCCAUAUAGAUCUAUACACACUUAUCACAUUCUCCGGACGGGAGACUCUGGUUAUAAAACAUCACUUUCUAGUGGUACCUUGAUAGGUAUAAUGAAGACGAAUGUCGCACGGAUUCUCAAUUAAGUCUAGUAUUUCAAAUUGAAUGUGUUAUAGUUGAAAUGGUUACCCUUGAUAUGAUGUAAUAUGUAAAUAUAUAAAUAAAGCAUAUUUGUAUUUAUAAAACAUAAUGUAUCCCAAGAGGGUAAAGUUGUGUUGUGAGAUGUUUUGCAUGUUCACAUCUUCAUAUGAUAGUUUUAACAACAAUAUGAAAAGUAUAGCAAAAGAUUGAUGUUUUCACACGAUUUUAGUCAUGUGUUUACUUGUAUUCCCCCCUCCCCCCCCCUCCCGUAAAAGUGUUUAAAAGCAUUUAAAAUCGUAGUGAUAGGGGUAUGAACUCACUUGGUAGAAAUUACGUUUUGAUGGAAACGAUGCUUUAUUCGGGCAACACUUCGACCGGAAACAAGUCGAUUUCUCGAGAAUCUCGAGGCUUUGAACUUCCGUCAAAGCUUGGAUAUGAAGUCAUGGAGUCGGGGUAGUCUCCAAAGGGUAGAAAGUGAAAAAGUAGUGGAGAGAGAUUGGAAAAUUAGCCCAUAAACCGGAGCCUUCGCAUCCUUUAUAUAGGGCUAGAAGAGGCCUCGAACGCGGAGCGUUCUUGCGAAGAACGCUUUUUCCAAAUGGAUUAUUUGUGAAUAAUGAUUAACACAACUUUUUAUCUGUUUUCAGUAAAAAAAAAGGAAGAAUGUUGGUUCAAGCUUUAUCCUAAAGGAAGCCUAACAUAAAUGGUCGUGCACAUAAGGUAUACUUUUUGACACCCAAACAUUUUCUCUCUUCGCGUGAACAAAAGGCACACACAACCGAAUAUUAGGAAUCAAAGUUCUCAAUCUGUUUAGGGUGUAACAAAAUAAGAGGAGUUAUAACCUUUCAUUGAAUGCAUUAAAGUGGAAAUAUUAAAAUUUUAAAUCAUUGAAUACUACAAAUAUAUGUUCAUACCAUGUCUAAACACUAAGUGUCAAAAUCUAGGAUUGAAUUGUCACCAUUCCCUGUACUUGUCACAGUGUAAUAUGCAAUUGGGACAAUUCAUAGAUUAAUCAUCUUCCGUAGAUGUUCUUAGGUAAAUUCUAUGUUAAUAACAAACUAUUGCAUUUUGGAAAACACUAUGAAUUUGUUUAAGCAUAUUGCUUAAUUUUAAGGAAUCUUAUUGAUUGAUUCAUUCUUUGGAUAGAACCAAGCAACAUAUUGAGAAUGUUUAAAUUGCUUCAAGAGUUCGGAGGAGAUGUGUCACUAGGAAUCAUUAAUAUUGUUGAAUCAAGAGAAUGUAACAUAAACUUUUACUAUUUUCUUACUUUUCCUUCUUAUGUAGGGUGAGGGGGAAUCGUCAAGGUCUCAUCCUUCAUUCACAGGAACAGGGUUGAGAAAGAGAGGCUACAUGGCUGGCAUGAAUAGAAAAUAGAUGCAUUCGGCGAAUUGGGGAAUCUUCAAGGUCAAUCGUGUGCAAGUCAAUGAGCUAUAUCCUAGUUUUCCAGAAGAAUUAAGAUAAUAUAUACCAGCCUCUACUGCAAAAUUAAACACAUUUGGAAUUGUAUAUUUAUCAAAAUUAAAUACUUUUCCAUGUGUGCUGUUUCCCCAUGAUUCUUUUAAGCAUAGUUAUCAAAAUUAAACACUUCUCGAAUUGUGUGCUAUUUCCUUAUACCGGUAUCUAGAUUGGAGAUAAAAGGAGUAGAGGCUUUAAUUAUCUCAUAUGCAACAACUAUAGUAGCCAACCUAAUUUGAAUACAACAAAAUGUCACCAUAAACAAAAACUAAGAAGCAACACCCAAAUGAUGAGAGAAGAAGCAGCUCCAAUAACUUUUUCACUCUUGCAAUACUCUCAAUGUAGAAAAUACUUGACCCUCUCAUUCCUAAACACUAUACAAAACAUUAAAUGUAAUUAAGUCGCCUGUUUAAGUCAAAAGCUAGAUUGCCCAAAAAAUUAUUCUAUUUAACUUCUUUGUGGGCAAUUGAGGAGAUCAAGAAACACAAUGCCUUCGAUCCUACAUCAACAACCUACAAAACAAAGCAACCUCCAUCUUCCUCAUAAUCACCAUUUUUUCAUCACUGUUAAUAGUCGUUGAAGUUCUUUACUUUCUUUACUACAUAUGUUAUUCGUUGGUAGUCAAAUUCAUGUUCUUGAACCCAAAGAACACCACAGCUAUCAGAACUUUUAUCGAACACUUGGCGUGUGUUCUUACAAACUCCACCUCAACCCAAAAUCUCUUUGUUGAGGGACCCCAUUUUCGAUUCAAAUCACCAAAACAAAUACAAUCCAAUAAAAUCAAUAUGAAUUAUGAUUUGAGAUUUAAAAAAAAUCACGUAAAAUAUGCACCCAAAAACAGUAUGGUUUUCACUUACGACAGAAAUAUCCAUUGAUUAUCCACUAUGAAGUUAUAACUGAAACACCAUUCUUACAUCUCCAUCCUCCACAAUAUGUAUGUGUUUAUGCGUAAAGAUACAAAGAAGAAUUAGACCCGGGAAUUCAAACCUUUGUACGUACAUUAUCUAAGGGGGUGUUUGGAUAGGAAAAAAAGAGGUGCUUAUUGCUUAUUCCCACAAUAAGCUAAUUUAAGUGUUUGGAUAAAAUCCAGCUUAUUAGGCUAAAUAAGCUAAUUUUAAUAAGCAUUUCUUUCCAUGCUUAUUGCUUAUUGCUUAUUUCCACCACAAAUAAGCUAUAAGCAAUAAGCUAAAAAUCUAAUCCAAACACCCCCUAAAUGGGUUAUACACAUUUCCCCAUAUUUACAUUAACAGUCCCUAGAAAUAUGUGUGUAUGUCUACUUUAGCCCUAGACUUUUAUUUUUAAGCCACAUGGUCCUACAUCAACAUUUGAGCAUAAAUUUCAAGUACUUACAUGGCAUAUAAAACUGGCUAUAUCAGUUAUGGACGAUCAAAAAAACAGGUCAGCAUCCACUCUAAGCCUCUAUUAAGCCGAAAAAUAACUUCAGGGACCUUUUAAACUAAUUCGAAAAACAUUGUUACCCAUAAGUGACAUUAACCCUUGCAAAAAUUGUAUAUUACUUUGUAUGCAUAUGGUCAUUUCCAUGGAUUUAAUAGGUGGGCCACCAAGGACUAAAAAUGUGAUCAAAUCGUUGGUUUAGGGAUGGAAAAAGGUAAAUGAUGAAACUAUUCGACCAUAUCCAUGACAACAUAAACCAUAUGGUUUAUUUUUUUAGUGAACGUAGAGCUAGUUGUAUGAGUAUUUAACAGUUGAGCAAUCUAGUUAGAUGACCCAAUUGACAAACAGUGUGACCAAAUGUUUUUUUUUUUCGGCCUGAACAAGUAAAGUACCAAACUGUUGGACCAAAUUUAUAAAAGACAAAACACAGGGAUGAUUUUUGUAAUUUACUCAACAAAUAAUUACUUGCAGAAGUAAAGGGAAAGUACCUCUACACCAAAACACCCGCUUUCAAAAAAAAAUAAAUAAAAAAAAAUUUCAAAAGAAAGCAAAACGGUGUUUCUUUUUUUCUUUUUCGGGAAAGAACCUUGAAAGCCUCCGAUCCCAACGCGUAAGAAAACCCCAACAUUUUCGUUGUUUGUUUAUAGUCUCUCGCCCUCUCCCUUCUUUUCAUCGUGGACUCACCGUUUCCCUGUUGACUUACUGCUCAUCUUUCUUGGUCUUUGUCUCUGUUCAUUUUUCCUCUGUUAUCGUUACUUCAGGUUUAUGUAAACUCUCCUCAUCCUUACAAGCUAUUUUUGCUUGUCUAAGAAUUUCACUUAUCAAUCACAGAUCAUUUGAAUUUUCAUAAACAGGUGAUUAAAAUUUUGUCUAUUUCAGCUAAUUUUUUUUAGUUUACAUAUCAGUUAUAUUGUUACAGUCCAUUACGUUCUUGCUUGAAGUCAAGAAUGAUGUACAAAACUUUGCGCAGACUGGGAAAUUCUCCGAUUCUCAAAAAUUCCUUCGUUAAUCACUUUAUAUUUUGAGUUCAUAAACACCAUUUUUUUUACAUUUGAUUCUUUUUUUGAAUGAUGUUAUCUGCUCCUUAAUUGUACGCUAAACACUCAAAGCUUUAAUAUUCGAUUCACAUAAUUCUAGAUUGGCUGCUGAUGUUCCCUUUGUUCAAAACCUGCUGAUCUGUCAAAGCCAGAGUGUAAGACAUCCAGGUGUUAUUUUGCUUGAAUCAAUAUUAGGAUUUUGGUAGUGCAUAGUCUAGAUUCUGAAACAAAUAAGUAAUGCUCUCUCUGUUUGAAAAUAAGCUGGAUUAGGUUUGUGUUUGGAGGUACAAAACUGAUAAGAGAUUUCUUUGUAGAUUUAAGUCAUAUGAAUAACAUUUGUCAGCUAAGCUUAUGUCAUUUGUUACUUAAAUCAUUCAUACCUUCCGGUUUUGAGUGUUUCAACUUCUUCCACAAGUGCUUCUACUUCUGAUACAGAAAAUGGUCUUCUAAUUCUACGUUGUGAAACUUCACAUUUCUUGGUCAACUGAUAGUGCUUCAGUUUUCACUUACAAGGAUAGCAUCAGAGCUUUGGAAUCAGCCAUUCCAUCUUAUGGCGAUUCCGUUUGUAAGGGUAUAAUUUCUUGAUUCUUAUCAACUUGGUUUUAAGGGCAUUUCAGUUAUCAGGAUCAUUAGGGCAUUUACGUCUUUUUCAUAGACGAGAGAUCGAGAGAUCAAAAGUUGCAAUUUUGUCAGGGUAUAAUGUCUUGCAUAACAAACAGGGCCUUAAAGCAUUAGAAUUUCCACUCAAUAGUUUUGUUAGGGAGUUCAUAAUCUUUCUUUAAAGUUACUUUACAGUAUCUAGACGCCAUCAUCUUCCUUAUUCUUCUGUAUCCAGCCAGCACGUGACUGUGCCUGAAAUGCCCUCAUUUUGGUUCCAUGGUGAUUGAAUUUUCAUCAUCAUCAUCAUCAUCAUCAUCUCUAAUACCCAUCAUUACAUAUACCUUAUGUCUUACGAAAGGGUAGAUUUACACUACUAUGUAAGUGAACUUCAGAUGAAUUUUAUUUAGACAGUAAUAGGAUACUUAUGUGGGUUUACCAAAAUAAAAUAGAGAUGUUGUGCAACAAAUGAACAGAUUGGUUAGAUAUUUUCUUGCACCCCUGAAAAAAAAAAGAAAAAAAAACUCAAUUCAGUUAAGUGAGCAGCUACUCUUUAAAUAACUAAAUAACUCACAUGGCAAUGUAAUUUUUAUUUUACAUCAAUACUUUGCUAUUAGCAGAUGAGAUUUAAGUUGCAUAUUGUAAUCGGUAAUUUGCUAUUGUGCAGAGGCAUUUUGUAUGGGUCCUGACAUUUAAGCACCAGCACAAGUGAAGAAAGCCGGUGAAACCAACUUUCAUAAUUAAUAACAUGUGGAAGAGUUUGAGAGCUUACUGAGAAGUGUCAUCAACCCGUAAUUUAUUAUGGUCGUUCUAUCUGAUCUUCCAGAAGGAUCUUCAUCUUCUUCAUCAACUCAUGGUUAUAGUUCAUCAGCUCGUGUUCAUACUCCAUCCACUCAUGGUCAUAAUUCAUCAACUCAUAAUCAUAGAUAUGAUGUAUUUUUAAGUUUUAGAGGUGUUGACACUCGUCAUAGCUUCACUGAUCACCUUCAUAAGGCCCUCAUUGAUGCCAAUAUCAGUACCUUCUUGGAUGAUGAAGAGAUUGAAACAGGGGAAGAUCUGAAACCGGAACUGGAGAGUGCGAUUAAGGCAUCUCGGGCUUCUAUUAUCAUCUUGUCUAAGAAUUAUGCUUCUUCAACAUGGUGCCUGGAUGAAUUGGUGUUGAUCCUUGAGCAGCGUAUGACAUCCAACCAUAUCAUUGUCCCAAUAUUUUAUCAUGUGGAGCCCACCCAUGUCAGGAAGCAACAAAGUAGCUUUGGAGAUGCAAUGGCUAAGCAUAAACGGACAAUGGAGG
rnacentral:lncRNA from 1 species